rnacentral:lncRNA from 1 species
UAGAUAUCUACAUUAAUGUGUCAUAAUGUACUAUGACACGAACUCUUAGUUUGGAAUACAUAUAAAAAAAUGCACUCAAAUGCAUGUGACAUAUCGUUCUUUAGACUUCAGCUUAAGAGUAAUAGUGAGGCUGAUAAGUAAUAAAAUUGAGUGACAUCAUCUUAAAACCUAGAAACUAGUAUAUGAUAAGUUCAAAGGAUACUAGAAACAACCCUAAACAUGUUAAUUUAUUAAUUAUUUAGAUUUACAUUUUAAUCUAUAAGUUGUUAAAUUUGAACCAGAUAUCCUCCUCAUCAGCGACCAAUGACAAAUGAAUCCCAUCGAAUAUAUUCAGAAGCAGGUUUGGAGGUGAGUCGGGAGUUGAAUAUAAAGGCUAUUGACUUAUGGUCAGCAAUUCAAGAAAGGGAGGAUUGGAAAGAUGUUUCUUUCAGGUAAGUAUGAUAUCAUACUGGAAAAUAACCCAAUUUGAAUUUGACCCUUAAAACAAAAUAUAAAAUAAUAUAAUAGUAGUAAAAACUGUUCACAUUGGGACAAUUCAAAGGUAUAUUGAAAGACUUUAUUUUUAAGAUUUAUCAAGUAAUUAACAAUUCCUUAAUGUGAUUAAGUGUUUUGCUUAUUUCUUAUAGUGAUGGAAUUCAUUUUACUAACGAGGGAAGCAAAGUAGUCUCAAGGGAGAUAUUGAAGGUUCUUAGAGAAGCAGAUUGGAAACCAAGUUUGCAUUGGAGAGAUAUGCCCAUUGAGUUUGAAGAAUAUUAUACUCUUCCAACUGGUCCUGGUGGAGAGCCUACUGAUGAACAAACUCUCGUUUCCCUCCAGGUGUAGAAUGGGAUUGAGACUAAACUUUUGUGCAUUUUUAAAACUUGAUGCAUGCCAAUUUCAUUAAACAUUUAGUAUUGUGCCUAAAUAAAUAUGGUAUGCUUGUUUCAAGUAUUUUCAGUAAUUAAUUUCUCCCUUGUUUUUCACUUUGUGAGUGGUGUCAAUGUGUGACUAUAUUUGUGCUUUCAUUUAGCUUUGUUGAGUUUAUUCAAAUGUAAAAGAGUUUAUUAAGUGGAAAAUGACAAUAAAAUUAAUGUCUUAAGGUUUUAGUUUAAGAUAUGAUGUGUUACUUGUGACUCUCAACUAUUCCCAUAAUCCGGUAACAAUAAAAUUUCCUAAUCACGGUCUCGUCAAACAAGUAAUAUCCAAUCUGAGUAUUGGUUUGUAUUUAGGUUAUCACUCCUUAUACCUAUUUAUUAAAUUCUUUGCUUAUCAAUUUUUUUUUAUAGUUUCUUGCACAACUUAAAUUUUUUAAAGGAAGGAUAGAAGUAGAGAUAAGUGGUAAAUUUAGCUUUACAAAUUAAACUAAUUUCAUGGUUUUCUUCAAGGAUGUUAUCGUUUUUUAAUGGGCAAAAGACAAAAUUUUAUUAAACUUAAAUAAUGGUUUCAAUGUGUUGAAUAGAGAUGGCAAUGGGUGCGAGUAAUGUUUUCACGUUCCUAAAUUCACAAUAUUUGUGAAUAGUGUGUAUUUGCGAGUACUCAACCAGUUUUUAAUUUUAAUUAUAUAUUUAUAUACUUUAUAAUAAUCAAUAUAUAAAAUAAUUAUUACAAGAAUAAUAUGAUAUUUAUAUGAUAAUUUUAUAAUCAUAGUCAAAUAGGUGUAAUUUAUUAUAAAAUGAUAAUAAAAUAUAUGAUAUAUAAUUUUAAAAUAAUAAUAAAAAACUAUAAUAUAUAUAAAAAUUUAAUUUAUUAAUUUGCGGGUAUCGACGAGGCGGGUAUUAUAAAACUCGAUCCCACUCAUGAGUUAUUAUUAUAGAUAUUCAUUGCAGGUACUUCCACGGGUACCCACUGGUCGAUUUUUUUGCCAUCCCUAAUAUUGAAAAGAGAGAAAACAAGAUAAAGGAGAAUCAAAAUAUAUAGGGAAGACAACCAUAAAGGUUAGAAAUCCAAGUAAAAUUAAUUCAAUUAAAUAGAAUAAGAUAAAGCAAUUUAUCUUUACUACGUGCAAAAGAGCAAAAAAAUUGGGGCAGCCAGAGAUACCCCAACUAUGGAUAAACCCUAAUUUAAGAAGUCACUAUAAGAGACUUAUGUUAUAUGGUUCCAUGAAUUAUAACCUUUACAAUAUCAUUUGGUUAUUUUUAGGUCACCUAAUUUUACUAAACAUGUUCAACAUAAGACAUAUAUAUUAUAGAAACUCCAGGGACAAAAUUCACCCUAUCUUUUAGAGGAAAAAAAGUAAGCAAGUUUUAAUUUUUGUUUUAUUUCAAAUUCUAAAACACUAAUAUACAAGCAAAACACAAUGUUGGUCUUUAAAGGUGACACAACAAUGAUUGAAGGAAUAUAUACUUUAUUCUGACUAAUUGAAUCUGAAAUCUUACUACAUAUAUGAGAACAUUAUUUCCAAUAAAUUAACCAAUCUAACGUUGAGAACCUUUCCUUAAAAUGGGUCAUAAAAACCAUGGUACUAACAUGCUGAAUAAAAAUUUAAUAACAGUUCUUGUACAAAGGGAAAACUUACAAAAAAAAAGAAUAUUGUAUGAAUUAUGUUCAAAGUUUGAUCAUUAAAUAAUGAGACUAUAAAACAAAAAGAACAAUAUUCGUCUUACACCAAUAGGAUCCUUUGUGAGUUUAAAUUAAGUGAUGGUUGAAUUAAUAUUUUUUUGGAAAAAAGUAAUAUUAUUAAAAUUGAGUUAGAGUUACUAUAUUUUCAAAAGAAAUUUAAGAGCAAGAAAAUCAACAUAAUUGAGUAAGACAAUCACAAGAGGGUUUGAAACCCAACUAGAGUAAGCUAUUAAACACAUUUAUAUUAAUCCACAGCCAAUAAACUACCUUCAUUGAAUCUGAGUUGAUGUGUUGAUUGAUUUGAAGAUGACAUCGUUCCGCGCUAGACAAAUAAAUCACGUUAUUGCAAGCCAAAUGAUACUUCAGAAUUUUCCGACUUUACUUGUAAAAUGACAAGCCCAAAUGCAUGAGAAAUUGAGUUAUUGGGUCAGGAGAUAAAGCGAUGUUAAAAUCCAGCCAACUAUAAAUCGAUUGUCAGACUAAGUAUGUGAACAUGAAAAUAAAGAAAAGAUGGCAAUAAGUCUCAAAAUGUUCAUUACAAAUACUGCAUAGGUAACCUUCCCUAGAGGAUGGGUAAUGCCCCUUCUAAGUAAAGCUUCCAAAGUGGGCAAUCUAUUUUGGAAAAGACGCCAAGCAAAAGUAGAAACCUUUAAAGGAGGUUUGAAUUCCCAUAAGAGAUUAAGAUGGUUGUGAGUGUGCUCAUCAUGUUGACGAAGCAUGCAAGCUGAUUUGGCAGAAUAAAUGUUAGAUUUAUCACGACUUCACGCCUAUCGAUCAUGAGUAUUGUAAUGUAGAAAACAUUAUUGAAUGUCUUGCAAAAUAUUAGUAAUUGAUUCAUGUUCUCAUGAAAUUUUUUGUCUUUCCCCUUAGUCCAUAUUCCUAAGUCAUUAAUGAGAGUGUCCUUGGACAAAGUGAGAUUAUAAAGCCUUCUAAACUUAGACUUAAGAUUAUUAGUACCUAACCAAUUAUGAUACUAGAAUUUUGUAGUCAUCAUGUCUCAAACUUUUCGCACAACACUGUCCAAAAGCACUAGGAGUUGUCUUUUAGAGAAGUUAAUUUUGAGGCCAGAAUAAUUGAAUUUAGUAAAAUGAUGAUAUAUAAUAAACAAAAAUGUCAUUCAUGAUUAGCUUUGCAAAAGUGGAAAAGGGAUAAAGUUGUGGAGAAUGUUAUAAUUCAUAAUCUUGUUCUCUAUUUCACUAAUGAGAAAUGCUACAAUCUUCUUAGGAAAGGAGGCUAGUUAAAUUUACAUUAUGAAUUUUAUUCUAUUAGAUCUUGCAACAUGGUUUUGUUCUAGUAUUGAUCCAUACUCUUUUAUAUGUACUUAUUGAUAAAUUUAUCCUUGGUCAUGUAUUCAACUACUUUAUAGCAUAAAACGUUCUUGAUUGUUUUUCCUUAUGCAUUUGGAAGACACAUCUCUUGUACCACUUUAAUAUAUCUUCUGCUUCUAAAAAAUUAGAUACUUUCUACUUGGGAAAAUAAUUGAGGGGAGCAAAUUUUUUUUAUAAUUAUUAUCUUUCUUUUAUUUUUUUGAAAAUAGAAAAUAUCUAAUUUUGACUUAAGUUGAAAUCUACAGUCAAAUAAAAGUAACUAUAUGACUGGUAGGGUGUGUUUAAUUUUCCAAUCUCCACCACUCAAAUGACUGGUGUGGAAAUUGCAAUGAAAAUGAAUAGAAGAAGAUGUAUGUAUUGACAGUGUAUGAGUUUUAUAUACUGUUAUUGUAUUAUUAUCAUUGAUUUUUUAUUAUUGUUGACUUUUCAAAAAAGGUAAUCCAAAUGAACAGUGAAUGAUGAAGUGCAUGUGUAUAAAUUUUUACAAUUUCAGUGUCAUUUUACACUCAUCUAUAUAUAUAUAUAUAUAUAUAUAUAUAUAUAUAUAUAUGAGGUAAUGGUUGAAGUUAUGUCGAUCAUUGCUAGCCAUGUCUACUUUAACAAAAACCACAUUGCCUACAUCAUUGCUCAUCCCAAGAAGAACCAAACCAAUUAACUCUCCAAAUAACAAAGUUGUGUUCCAUAAAAAUGAUCAUUAUUUGAAUAAGAUAGUGCCUCAAAAGAAGAAAGCUUCUUUUUGUAUCCAAGCACAAGCACAAGAAGGAGAAGCAUCAGUUCCUUCAUCUCCUAUUGAAUCUCCUUCUUUAAGGCCUACGUUUGUGUUGUUUGGUUCUUCCAUUGUUGAGUAUAGUUAUUUUGAAGGUUGGGGAGCUACUCUUGCUCACUUGUAUGCACGCCAGGUAAUUUUUUCCCCAUAAUUAUGGUUUCUUAUGAAAAAGUGAUUGGGAAGUAAAACUCCACCAGAGUCAAAAUCCAACUUAUUUUCCGUUGUUAUGGACUAAAAAAUAUUUGUUAAUUAUUGAUCAAAAGUAACAUUUUACUUGGUAUGAUAUGAUUAUGUAGAUGUUACAUAUUGGGAAGUAAGUGUAUAUAGCAUGUAUUCGACAAGAUGAUUCGAUACAUUUAUGGUUUGUUAAUUCUCUUUUAGCUACCUAUAUUUACAUCACGGUCUAAAGUUAAAAGGACAUGAAAAAUAGCUUAAGUGACAUGGUUUACCUCUGCUGUCUCACUCCUUCGUGUCACUGCAUGUGCUAGGCGAAAUGAUUGGUUAGAAAAAUAUUUAAGAAUAACAGUUUUAACUUAAAUAAUUUUUUCCAAUUAAUUAUAAGUAAUAUUCUUGAAUGUAAAAGGAAUAAGUUAUUUUAUGUAACAUGUAAUAUUCUUUAAUUUAUGUCACUAACCUUUGAAGUGAGAAAUUCUUUAAAGGAAUAUUAAGUAGUUCUCUAUGUUUUCUUCCUUUGAAAUUGGAAUUUAUGUCAAACUUUGUGGUGGUAUUUUUCUUCAGAAUCUUUUAAUGUUAAAGUUUUGAUCUUUUUAUAUGAUUAUUUUUUUAAAAAUUGUAUAUAUAUUAAUUUCUUUUGUUAUUUGAAUAUAUUGUGAUUAAUUGAAAAGAUAAAUGAUAAUUAAUUGAGUGGAAAUAGAAUAUAAAAGAGUCCCAUUAAUGAAGAAUAAUCUUGAAAAAACAAAUAUGAUUGUCCAAAAAUUAUUUAAAGGUGCUAAUAAGCAAAUUCAAUAAGAAUUAAUAUUAACUUUAAUAAGGUGAAGAGAUAAUUAUGUCAAGUAAUUUAUUGUGUAAUAUGAUGGAGAAUGAAUGAGUUACUAAUGACAUUCAAACAUUGACUUGGCAUAGGUGGAUCUAAUUAUGCGUGGAUAUGCUGGAUGGAAUUCGAGGAAUGCUCUACAGAUUCUGGACAGAGUUUUUCCAAAGGUAUAUAAGAAUGGAGAUUAGUUGUCUCGAUCAUGUUUUUAUUUCUAUCCCGAUUAUUCGAAUGUUGACAAUGAAAGAGAGAAAUGUGAAUAUGAGUGAAGAUAUUAAAGUAUGAAACAAAAUUAUAUAUCAUUUUCCAUAUGUUAAUAUUUGAAUAGUCGAAACAUAAAUAGUGAGAGAAUUAUGGGACAACUAAUCAUUGUCAUAUAUAUACUUUUGUUGAUGUGCUUCCCAUGUGCUAGGGUCUUUAUUUUUUUGUCAUACACAUUUGUUUCCAACACUCUCUCACAUAGUUCCAAACAUAUCGGACAUAAUAUUUUUAUAAACGUGGUCGAACAUGUUGUCCCUUACAUCACAUGUAUCCUCAACACUACCCUACAAAUUCAUGUCUAUCCCACAAUUUCAAAGAUAUUAAUCAACCUCACGACAGAAUUAGCAAAUUGAUUAUAUAUGCUACAAAUCUAGGUUUCAAAUCUAUCUUGCACACCAUAUCUUGAACUAGAUCUAACAAUUUAAAUUAUUCUGAUUUUCACAAAAUAAAAUGUACAAUAAUGAAUCUCUUAAUUAACUCAAUUUGUUGAAUGUACAUAAAGUUUAAUUUUUAAAGCUUUCGGAAAUAUGAUUACUUGAUUUUUGAUCAAAUUGACAUAUAAAGACUAAUUAUUUUUGCUCUUUGAUUUUAUUUAACUCAGAAUGCAACUCAACAACCAUCAUUAGUGAUUGUAUAUUUUGGUGGUAAUGAUGCAACUAAUCCACGACCAGGUGGAAAUGGUCCUCAUGUACCUCUCGAAGAAUACAAAGAAAACAUGAAAAAGAUUGUUAUCCAUCUUCAGGUAAACUUUCACAUUAGACUCUAACACUUUUUUAUAUUCCAUUAUCAUGUGAAUUAAAUCACUCAUCUAUGCUUACCAACUUUUCUAAACUUUUUGUAAAUUAUAUUUAUCACACUGCAAAAUUUGACACAAAUUCAAAUGAUUUUCAGAGUCUUUCAGAGAAGACUCGGGUUAUAUUUCUCAGUACUCCUCCCAUCAAUGAGGAUCAAAUCUUUGGAGACAGGUUUAGAUUGAAAUUCUUUUGCUAUUUGAUCAAUAUAAUUUCAUAGAAAGAAAAGGUUUAGAGCAUAGUUUAAAUUGUGUUGCAUAAUUGUAAUCAUAGGUGUAAUGUUAUAGUUAUGAGAGUCUCAGUAAUCAAUCAGUUGGGUAUAGUUUUCUACAAUUAUUAUAAUUACUAUAACUUCAAAUAUAAUGAGAAAAAUAUAUAUACAGUGUAAGCCUAUGAGUUUUAUACUCUAUUAUUAUAUUAUCCACCAUUUAUAUUUAAUUAUCAUCGACUCUUCAAAAAAUAAUUCAAAUUAAUGCUAGAUGAUAUAGUUACUAUAUACAAAUCUUUACACUAACAUUAUGUAUAUAUAUUACACUCAAACAUAAUAUUAAUGGAAAUUGCAAUUUGAAAAUAAAUAUAAUAGCAUAACACUUAUAGAUAUCUACAUUAAUGUGUCAUAAUGUACUAUGACACGAACUCUUAGUUUGGAAUACAUAUAAAAAAAUGCACUCAAAUACAUGUGACAUAUUGUUCUUUAGACUUCAGCACUCUUAGUUUGGAAUACAUAUAAAAAAAUGCACUCAAAUACAUGUGACAUAUUGUUCUUUAGACUUCAGCUUAAGAGUAAUAGUGAGGCUGAUAAAUAAUAAUUGAGUGACAUCAUCUUAAAACCUAGAAACUAGCUUAUGAUAAGUUCAAAGGAUACUAGAAACAACCCUAAACAUGUUAAUUUAUUGAUUAUUUAGAUUUACAUUUUAAUCUAUAAGUUGUUAAAUUUGAACCAGUUAUCCUCCUGAUCAACGACCAAAGACAAAUGAAUCCCAUCGAAUAUAUUCAGAAGCAGGUUUGGAGGUGAGUCAGGAGUUGAAUAUAAAGGCUGUUGACUUAUGGUCAGCAAUUCAAGAAAGGGAGGAUUGGAAAGAUGUUUCUUUCAUGUAAGUAUGAUAUCAUAUGGAAAAUAACCCAAUUUGAAUUUGAUCCUUAUUUUUAAGGUUUAUAAAGUAAUCAACAAUUCCUUAAUGUGAUUAAGUGUUUUGCUUAUUUCUUAUAGUGAUGGAAUUCAUUUUUCGGAUGAGGGAAGCAAAGUAGUUUCAAGGGAGAUAUUGAAGGUUCUUAGAGAAGCAGAUUGGGAACCAAGUUUGCAUUGGAGAGACAUGCCCAUUGAGUUUGAAGAAUAUUAUACUCCUCCUACUGGUCCUGGUGGAGAGCCUACUGAUGAACCCAGCUCUCGUUUCCCACCAGGUGUAGAAUGGGAUUGAGACUAAACUUUUGUGCAUUUUUAAAACUUGAUGCAUGCCAAUUUCAUUAAACAUUUAGUAUUGUGCCUAAAUAAAUAUGGUAUGCUUGUUUCAAGUAUUUUCAGUAAUUAAUUUCUCCCUUGUUUUUCACUUUGUGAGUGGUGUCAAUGUGUGACUAUAUUUGUGCUUACAUUUAGCUUUGUUGAGUUUAUUCAAAUGUAAAGUUUGAGAUAAAUUGACAUUGAUUCAAGUGGUACAUACUUGAUUCCCCUUAAGUAAGAACCCGAGUUCGAGUCUUGUGGAUGGAAAAAUGCUUGUUGGGAGAGUUAGCCCCACAUACCUGUGAAUGUUCCUGGCUCGGACAGGAUUGCCUCCUGUGUGAGGAUACCUGUGGGAAUAAAAAAAAAUGUAAAGUUUGAGAGAAAUAAAAGAGUUUAUUAAGUGGAAAAUGAUAAUGAAACUAAUAUUUUAAGGUUUUAGUUUAAGAUAUGAUGUAUCACUUAUGACUCUUAACUCUUCUCAUAGUCCGGUAAUAAUAAAAUUUCCUAAUCGCGUUUUCGUCAAACAAGUAAUAUCCAAUCUGAUGGUUUGGCUGACACCUUAAGGGGAGUGGACUAGUAAGUAUGUGGUGCACACACUUGAUGAGAAAUUGUUAGGUUUGUUCAAGUGUCUCACAUUGUAUAUGAGGGGAAAAAAUGAAAUAUUUAUAAAUGGAAAAAAACCUAUAAAAUUAUCUUAGAGUUUUGGCUCAAGACGUAUGUCUUACUUAUAACUUUCCACUUUUCUUAUACUCCAAUAAUAAUAAAACAGUCGAUGAUUGAAUAUGUUCCAACAACUUUUACCUUGGAGAUAUGCUUAACAUAAAAAUUGAUAAUUUGAUAUAUAGAUAAUUUAAUCUAUGAUAAAAAAGGGUUUCAAAUUUUAGUUGCACUCUUUGCCAAUUGCUAUCUAGGUUUCACCAUCUUAAAGAAAGAUAGGUUGUCAAAUUUUAAUUGUACUUUUUACCAAUUGCUAUCUAGGUUUCAUCAUCUUCUAAACUAACGUGCCUUAUGACACUUUUUUUAGUAAUGAAAAUAUAAUUCUUUUUUAUUUGGGUUUUAAAGGUAAAAUUAUAAUUUCAAUAAAAUUAAUAUGGAUAUAAGUGUCAUUUUAUUUUAAGUUUUUGUUAUUUUUCAUACAACUUCCCUCCUUAAUGGAUGAAUGAACUUAUACUUAUUGGUUGUCAACUAACAAGCAUUUUAUUAUUUUGGAGAAGUUAGGGAAAUGUAGCCAAAAUUUCCUUACAAUUAGAUUUACAAAUAAAAAAUGUAAUUUUGUUGAAACUUUUGUGAUAAAGUUUUACAUGGUUAUAAGUUUUUGAUAAACUAUAAAAUGUCCCGGAUUGAGUGAUCUGUUUGUAUUUAGGAAGAUUUCUAGACUAAUUGGUUUAGAGGAUUUAUUAUUUAUUUUCAAGACUGUGAGAAACAUUUUCCUUAUAAGGUCCUUGUCUAGGUAUCCUCUUCCCUUAUGGAGAUAGACUAAUAUCGGUUAGGUAUGAUACUUAUGAAUGUAAAUAAUUCUGAUUUAAACCAUAAAAUGAAAAGUGAGACUGAACCAAAUUGAAAAUGUGAUUCAGAUUUGUCAUUAAGUUGUUUUUUGAACUAUUUGUUUAAGAUCGGUUUUGUUUGCGAUUGUAGAAAUUCGGGAACCACUCAGAUUGAAUUGAAUCAUAGAUUUAAAAAAUAUUUUCAUUAUUUCAUAUAAGUCAACUAAUAAAGGAAAUGUCAUAUCAACUAAAGUAUAUUCCAAAUUUGAAGUUUGACUCCUUUGAAUGUAUUGAUCUUUUUAUCGAUACACUAUAUGAAAAUGUUGGGUUUAUUCAAGUGUGACGUCCCAUAUUGGAUAUGUAGGGAGAAGUGAAAAAAUUUAUAAGUAGGAAAAGACCAUAGAACUAAUGCCUUAAGGUUUUGGUUUAAUACGUGAUGUCUCACUUGUGGCUCUCCACUCUUCUCAUACCCCAAUAACUAGGGUCGACAAUGAACCGAACCAACUCGGUAUUCGUUUGAAAUUCGAUUCGUUAUUUAGCUCGAUAAACUUGGUUCAUGAACCAAAUGAGCUAAAUUUGAGCUGAAAAUUGAGCUCGUUAAUUUAACGAACCAAACUCGAGUUGGAUAAAGUUUGUCUCGUUAAGUUCAUGAGCUAGCUCGAUAUAUAUGUGUAAAUAAAAACUAAUUUAUAUGUUUAUUAUGACUCAUACAUUAUUUUUUAUAUUUAUUGUUAUUAUAUAUAUACAGAUGGUCAUAUUUAUACGUAUAAAAAAAUUUAUAGUAUUUUUUUUAAAAAUUAAUUAAUUAUUUAAGUUGUCCAAAUGAACCAAUUGAACUGAGCCGAACAGUUCACGAACUUUAUCUGAAUCGAACUCGAACUAAAAAAAUAACUCGUAUCGAACUCGAGUCGAGUUUCGAGUCGAACCAAUCCUUAUCGAGCUGAACCGAGCUGAAAUCUGGUUCGACUCGAUUCGACUCGUUUCCAGCCCUACCGAUAACAAUGGAACUCCUAGGUGGUUGGAGGCUCACCGGUCGUAGUCUGGUCCAACAAGUCGUAUUAGAGCCGAUGAUUCGGCUAGGACAUAGUGGACUUAAGGAGGAGUAGACCGGAAUGUGUGCGGUACUAACAUUUGGGAAAAAAUUGUUGGAUUUAUUCAAGUGUGAAGUAUCAUAGAUAUGCAUGGAGAAGUGAAAAAUUUUAUAAGUAGAAAAAGUCCAUUAACUAAAUUUCAUUUAUUUCUAGUUAGUUUUGUUGUUUUCUUGCGGUUCUAAAAUUAAUUUUUUUCCACAAUUACAAUCAUGUGUGAUUUUUUUUGUGAAUACUCAAUUUUAACCUAUCUAUUUACAAAAUAAAAAGUUUCAAAUCAACAAAAAAAAAUAAAAAAGAAAGAUAUUUCUAGAUACUCUAGACCAAUUUUUAUCUUUGAAUUAUAACUAAUGGUUGUUUAAUUACCAACAGAUUUAUUCUGGAUUUUAAAUGGGCCGUUUCAUUUUUUAUAUUCAAUUGGCAGUUCUAUUUUUUAAUAAAAAGUAAUGGUGAAUUUUUUGUUUUAAUUUUUCUAAUGUUGGUUGUUACAAAUUAUUUAUAAAUAAAAAAGGCGAACCGAUUUAGGCAUAUGAGGAGGAGAACAGAACUAGAAAAAAUUGUUUGAUUUAAAGUAAUUGGGUUUAGUUGCCUUUGUAUGCAAUCAUUGUCUUAUUCCCCAUCUAGUUUUUCAUUCCUUCUUGUUUUAGUUAUAAGGCCAUAAAGGCAUGUUUCCUUUAUUUUCAUUUUGUUUUAUUGGGCCUUUUCAUUUAGCCCAUUUUAUUUCAGUAGUAAGUUAUAAUGAUUUCUUCUCUUUUUGGAUUUCUUUUUGGUAAGAAAUUAUCACCCAUGAACACGAGCUUUCAAGUUGGCACUACAAUUCAAGAAUAAGAUCAUGUUUAUUAAUAGAAGUUUGUCACAAUUAAGUGUUGGUGGUCAUGUGCAUUAUCCCUAGAUGAGAUGCAACACAAUGAGCUCUCUUGGAUUCAGUACUCAAUAGAAGAAUCCUUCGUAUAAUUGACUCUUUGAAUUGAUUCUGUUGUUGAUGUAAGUAAAGAUUUAUAAGAUAUGCAUUCCGAAUGGGAUAUAUUUCGCAUUGUUGAAUUAUAAGAGGAAUUUAAUCAUUUGAACCAAGGUAACCUCACUAUAUUUGAUUUCUUCACCCAAUUAAAGACAUUGUGGCGGGAAGUAGAUAAUUUUAGACCAAUUAGGAAAUGCAUAUGUACCACACCUUGUACUUGUGGUGUGAUCCAAUCCGUUAAGAAUUAUAGAGAGUGAAACUAUGUUAUUAAGUUCUUGAAAGGCUUGAAUGAGCAAUACGCUAAGUAUGUUCCCAAAUAAUGAUGUAUGAUCCCUUACAAACUAUUACCAAAGUCUUCUCUAUGCUUAUGCACCAAUAGAGACAUUUCACUAGCUUACUCCAUAAAAUCUACACACGAGUAUAAAUAUAAAAUAUAUGUAUUAACAAUGUAUAAGUUUUAUAUAUUGUCACUAUAAUAUCUAUCAUUCAUGUUUAAACAUCAUUGACUUUUAAAAAAAUAAUACAAAUAAAUUUUGAAUGAUAUGCUGACUGUGUAUAAAUCUUACACUAACAAUAUAUAAAUAUUACACACAUCUAAAAUUUAAAAUAUUUGAUUAAAAUAAAGUCGAUAGUUAAGAUUGAGUGUGAAACCUAAGUCUAAUACAUGGAUAUAAUCUAUAUAUAUAUAUAUAUAAUUUAUAUUAUUUUGAGUUGAAUUUUUUUCAUGAACCAGAUUUUACUAUGCUCAUAUAACUUUAUUUCAAUGGUAUUUCAAACAAUUUAUAUUAUUUUGUUUUAAAGCAUUUAUUAUAUUUUCUCUCUCUUCAUAUUUGGUCUCACUCAUUAAUUAUUUAUGUUUUCUUUUAUUAAUACUAUUCAUCUUCUUCUUCAUAUAGCAAAUGCACUAUGUAGAAUAUUUUAAAAGCAUAUCCAUGAAUCAUUAUUUUAUGUGCAUGGUUGAUUCCAUUUCUUGAAAAUGGGAAUUGGUUCAAGCCACUUUGUGCUCUUUUUGCGCAUUGGUCAAAGAUAUGCUUAAGGAGAUACCACUACGUAACCUUACCUUUAAAAAAGAUAUGGAUCCCUAAUUUAUUUAAGUUAUCACGUUAAAGCAUAGUGAUUAAGGGGUUUUAAAUCUUUCCUAUCAUUUACUUUGUUAUGCAUUCAAACAUCACGUUGGCUUUUUCUGAGAGACUUUCAUGCCGAUGAUAAGAUACCAAAAGUUUGGAAUUCCUCAGUUGUUUUUUUUAUUCCUAACAUUAAGAAUCCUAACAAGAUUUAAGAUUUCCGACAAAUUUUUCUUGUGGGUUCGUUAUAUAAGAUUAUUGCUAAAAUCUUGUCGGGAAGGUUAAAGCAGGUCGUAGGUUCUUUAAUUUCUCCUUCACAAUUGACUUUCAUUCAAGGUUGGAAUGACAAAAAUACCCACCCCGUUACCCGCUAAAAUACCAUCAACGAGUACCCACCUUGCGGGUACUCGCAUAUUUAUUAAUUAAAUAAUUUAUAGGUAUUACAUUUUUAUUAUUAUUUUAAAACUAUAUAUUAUCCAUUUUUGUAUUAUUUUAUAAUGAAUUUUAGUGAAUGAAAUAUAUGAUAAAUUUAACAUAUAUAUAAAUUUUAUUAUUCAUGUAAUAAUUAUUUUAUAUGUAUUGACUAUUAUAAAAUAUAUAAAUAUAUAUUGAAACUUAAAAACCCGUUGGGUACCUGCAAAUACCCGCUACGUACUCGUGCGAGUACUUGUAAAUAAUGUGUGUAUGGGUACGGGAAAGCACUACCUGUACUCGUUCCGUCCCAUUGCCAUCCCUAAUUCAAGGUCGAUAUAUCCUUGAUGCCACGAUUGUGAUAAAUGAGGUUAUUCAUUCCGCUAAGAAAGAAAGGGGUGAUUGUUUGUUUUUAAAGGUGGACUUUGAAAAAGCUUAUGAUUCAGUAUGUUUGGACUUUCUUGAUUACAUGCUUGACAUAUUUGAGUUUUAAGAUAAAUGGAGAAUGUGGAUUAACGCUUGCUUGGCCUCAACGUCUAUGUCUAUCCUUGUAAAUAAAUCUCCUUCUAUGCAACUUUCGGUAUCAAAAAGGUAUUAGACAGGGUGAUUCUAUGUCACAUUUUCUUUUCCUUCUAGUGGCCGAAGAUUUUGCCUGGUUGGUUAGAAGAGCGAGAGAGACUUGUUUAAUGGAAGGUUAUAAGAUUUGAAAGGCAUAAUGUGGAAGUUAUUGAUCUUCAAUUUGCAGAUGAUACUAUUUUGGUUUCUAAGCCGACUAAUAGUAAUCUUUUGCGCAUGAAGAAUAUUCUUAGAUGUUUUGAGUAAUGUGAACUUUCAUAAAAGUUCCUUGAUUGGUAUAAAGGUUGUUGAUAAUUUUAUGGCAGUAUCAACAUCCUUUCUGUCUUGUAAGAUUGGUUCUAUUCCUUUUCUUUAUCUUAGUAUUUCAGCUGAGGCUAAUCCUAGUAACUAUUCGAUCUUACAGAAUCUUAUUAAGAGGUGUCCAGUAGAUUGGCAUUUUGCAAGUGUAGGCAUAUUUUUUUGUGGUAGACUUGUUCUUAUUAACUAUGUUCUUUCAAAUUUUCCCAUCUAUAUGUUUUCCCUAUAUAAGGGCUCCGAAGAAAGUUAUCUCAAAAUUAACCUUUUUGCAAAAGAAUUUAUUUUGUCGAGUAACAAAAGAAACUUAAAGGUUAUACCUUGGAUUUUUUGGUCUAAGGUAUGUAAACCCAAAAAUCUUAGUGGGUAAGGGGUCAAUGAUAUUUCUCUUUUUAAUGAUGUUCUGUUAGGGAAGUGGGACCGGAAAAGAGUAGUAGGUUAUGGGGCUCUUUAGGUUAAUGUCAUUAAUUCCAAAUAUCACAUUGAUCAUAGUUCCUUUUAUGUUGGCUCGACCUUAAGGUGGUGGAGGGACUUAUGAAUAUCGGUACCUCUCUUACCCUAGUUCUAGUUGAUUGGAGGCGAAUCUUUGAAGGGAAGUUGGUGAUGGUUCACACACACUUUAUUUUGGCUGGAUUUGUGGUUUGUUCAAUUGUGUCUCAAAGAUACUUACCCGAGAUUAUUCUCACUAGCUCUGGAUAAAAAAGCAGCAGUGGCAGAGUGCAGGGAGUGAAUAAUAGGAAUUGGAUAUGGAAUAUUCAAUGGAGGAGACCUUUAUUUGUUUGAAAGGAAGAGACAUAUAGAAAACUUUAUGACUUUAUUCAGCACCAUUCUUGUAAAAGUGGAGUUAAUGACAAAUAAAAAUGGAAUCUUGAUAAAUCGGGUUGUUAUGUGGUUAAAACUGUUUAUCUUACUCAAAUGAAUUUUGACACUUCGUAUAUAGGUAAUAUUCUAAACUUGAGUUGGAUUAAGUAGAUUCCUUCAAAGCUCUGUUGUUUCAUUUGGAAAGUGAUUAGAGGUAGAGUUGCCACAAAGGCAUAACUUUUUAAGAGAAAUAUUUUGGAGAAUGAGAUCUUAGUUGUAGCUUGUGCUGAUGAAGGACAAAAAUCUAGAUAAUCUUUUUCUCUUGUGUGACUUUGCGGCUAAUGUUUGGAAGGUUUUUAUUUAUACCUUCAAAUUCAUGUACUUAUCCGAAACACUAAUGUUGAAUUUUUAAAACUACAUGAGUGUUUGAGUAAAUUCCAUAAAGGGAAAUCAAUGUGAAGAAUAUUGUGGUUGACUAUGAUUUGGUGCAUUUAGACUAUGUAGAGUGAUGUCAUCUUUUGGGGGAACAACCUAGCUUUAUCAAAUUAUAGAUAUGAUUCAUAUUAGAUCUUGGUUUUGAUUAUCUACCAAUGUUGCUUUUUAAAUCCUAUUCCUUUACACAAUGAUAUAUUGAUCCUAUUUCUUAUAUCAAGUUGACACCCUUAUGUUGUCUAAUACAUUUGCUGAUGAAAAAAAGUUUCAUGCUAAUUUGAUUUGAGUAAAUGAUGAAAUCACUCUCUGAAAAUAAAAUGUUGACAUCAAAUUAAUCCAUAUUUAUAGAACCAAAACACAAAAUCAGAUCAAGUUAAUGAAAGUCCAAUAUUUUUUGCCAAUUAUGAUGAUAUUAGGGGAUAGCAGAAAACUUAGUGUAAAUAAACCGUACACAUAAAAUCAUGAUUCAUCAAUAUGUUUUUCAAAUAUUCUAUAUGGUGCAUUUCCGAGGAUAUAGAAACAAGUUGCUUCUUCCUAACUAUAGAUUUAGAGAUAUAUAAUGGCUUCCUUGUUUUUCGGUUUUUAAUAUAUUUCUGGGUGUAGUUUCACCCUUGCCUAAAAAAAAAUUGUGAGGAAGAAGAUGAAUAAUAUAAUUAAAAGAAGAAAAGUGAAGUAAUUAAUAUGUGAGAUCAAAUAUGAAGAGAUAAAAAUACAAUAAAAUUUUAAAAACAAAAUAAUAUAAACAAUUAAUACUCAUUUUAGUCUCUCAUUAUCCAAUUAAUAUCACAUUAUACUCUAAUAAACCAAUAAAAUUGUAACUAUAAACUAUCACAUUUUCUCUUUAUAAAAUACUAGCGUGUCGACCUGCACUCCAUGCUGGCUGACCCACAUUCUUAUUUUUAUUUAUUUAUAUAAGUGUAUAAGUAUAAAAAAUGAAAUAUAUAAAUUCAAUAGAAAAUGUAAAUUUCUCGUGCAUUUAAUAAUCAUUAUUGAGUUGAUAUAUUUUUUCACGUGCUAUUGUUUUAUUUUUGGGUUGAAAAAGAGAGAAGAUAAAAAAGAAUGUGUAGAUAAGUAAUAAUAUAUUGAUGAAAAAUGAAAGCAAAAUGUGGAAGUUUCCAUUUAUUAAGGAGAGAGGUUAAAAAGAUUAAAAAUGGAAUUUAAAAAUUAUACCAUACAUGCAUGGUUGGUUAUUACUUGUUUUAGCUUUAUUAAUAGUAUAGAUGUAUACAGGCAAUAAUUGCGCAAAUAAUAUAUGCACGACAGAAGUGUUUGUAUACAUUUAUAGAAUGUAAUGUCAAUGUAAUAAUAAUGUAUUAUUUAUUAUUUAUUUGUAUUACUUUUAUUUAAGAAUCAAUAAUAAUUAAAUAUAAAUAAUAAUUAUAGUGUAAAAGCUAUGUAUAAGUAUCUUCACAUCUACAUCUUAUGAGGUUGGAGAUUAUAACUCAUCACCUGCUUUGGGUUAUUAUAAUAUUUUUUAUAUCAAUUAUUCACCUAACAACUAGGAAUUAAUUAAAAAAUAUUUUGGUUUAAAAUAUGAUUUAUACUUGAAUAUGUUUUGUUAUAGCAUUAGUCCUUAAUGAUGACGCUAUUAAAACCAACCAUCAUAUAAUCCUAAUUUCUGAUGUGGCUAAUUAUGAAUUUUCAAGUCAUUCAUCAAGAAACUAAAAUCAAAUUCAUGGAACAUUAUAAGAACUAAAUUGGACAAAAAUAAUUCAUAGAGAUUAAAACUAAACCUCCCUAAUUUUUUCAGGUCAGAAUAAUAUUUAAGUAAAAUAUUUUAACAACUUUCUUGAAAAACAGACAUAACAAAGAUUUGAACAAGCUAUGUUAAGAGAUUUUCCCCUAUUUGAUCGUCCAAUACUGAAAUAUGAAGAACUGAAUAAACUUAUAUAUUUUUCAAUCUAAAAAAUAAAAAAAUCCGCAUUUUUAAAAAAAAAAUUUGGUGUCACAUGUCAGAAUCUAAAUCCAAUAUUAAAUAAUUAUUAAUGAAGAGAAUCUAAACCCUUACCUUGUUCACAUGUUCAUUUACGCAAAUUUCUUAAAUAUAGUUACAUUAAUAACUAUUAUUUGUUCAACUAAUAACAAUAAUAACCAAAUCUUAAUAUUUGAUAGACUUUUAAGUAAUGAUAAAUUCUAAAUUUUUGAGAUGUGAGAAUAAUGUAGGCAAAAAAAGGACAUAUCUUUAUUAUAUAAUUUUAGGAUUUAAUUAUCAAUGUGAAUUAAAGAUUACUCAAUUCUGACGAAAUUUUCUAUCAUAGGCAAAAAUCUCAUCAUAGUACUAUUAUAUUAUUAUGGAUAAAAUGAAAACUAUCACUUUGUGUCUUUUACAAACGAUGUACAUAAAAUAAAAAUGAUUAUAGUCUAAAUUACUAUUCAAUUUUUGGGUCAAUUAAAUUAUGUUGUAAAUUCACCAAUUUUUGUGUUGGAUUUUUGUGCACUCGUUUAACCUGCAUAGAUUUAGACAAAAUUAUGUUGUAAAUUCACCAGUUAAAUAUGAUAAGUUUUAUCCUUCACAAUAUUGAAUGAUAUAAGCUUAUCCAUUUCAUGCAAAAUACACUUCAAAUGUGCUUAUAAUAAUUUUACUAAGCUACUUACGUGUAUAGGCCCAAUGACUUGUUUUUAAAUCAUACUUGUCUAUUUAUAAAACCAAUUUCAUUAUUUUUUAUUGUCUUCACGCCACUGCAAUGCCAUUAUGCAAUUGCAUGUUCCCUCAAUUAUUAUUCUUCCAGUUCACGUUUUCUUUCCCAAUUUUAAAACCAAUUUCAAGUUUGUAUUGGUGAAUAACUAGCUAGAAUAUAAUUUUAUUUCUCCAUCUCGGACCAAUCAAGUACUACUAGGUACAAUAUUUUAACUUUAAAAGUUAUUUUAAUUUUUAUUUGAUUGUCAAAAUCCUAAUUAUAGUAUUGUGGUAUAGAAAAAUGGAUAGAAAAUUUCAAUUUGACUACCCGACCCAAACUUUUUUUUAUUAGCAAAAUGAAAUUUAUUAAAUUAAGAUUCAAUAGACAUUUGUUUUGUACAUGUAAAGACUCAAAAGGAGAAAUGUAAAUCUCAUAUGAUAUGUGAGAGUGAAAAUUGUUGAAAAGAUAAUUCAUUCUUUAACUUCAUCUCAUCUCCAACAAAUCUAUGUUAUUCAUUCUCAAUUAGUUUAAUUAGCUCGUAAUACACGAGUUUCUUUUAAUUGUAAAUUAAAUUGCUGACGUUAUUUAAUCCUUAUCUUAUAAAGUUUUUAGGUGCACUCUUGUAUUAUAUUGUAGCACAUGCAUGUCCCUCAUAAGUACAACUCUCCUUUAAUAUUCAAAUGAAUACAUGUCGUAAGGAACUCUCCCUAUAGAAUAGCUAUAAUGAUAUUCUUGUUACAUUAUAAGAUUCUCUCUAAUAUUGGAAUACCCAAUUUUGAUAAUUUUUAAUAUUGUUUUAUUUAAAUUUUGGAUCAUUAAUAUUUAUUUUAAAGCACAUAUCACAAUUUUACCUACUAUUUACCUCGUUAUAGAGGUUACCUGAUCCUCCUUGUGCGACUUUCAAUUAGGAAUGAAGAUCAUAUGUCGUCGUUUAUAUUCUAAUUGGUUUCUCAAUCUAAUAAGAAAACUCUAUUUAUUUAAAUUGUUUUUAUAAAAACAUAAAUUAACAUUUUAAUAUUAUUUCGUAAGAUUUGAUUGAUCUAAGACAUAAUACAAAAAAAUUAUGAGAUCGAUGAUCAUUGUCAUUCAAUUACAUCUAACAGAUUCGAAUUCAAGUGGGUGGCUCCUAUACAACUCUUCAAUAUGGUUUGGUGUAGUUGCACCAUUCCCUUAAAAAAAAAACAACUCUUCAACAAUGUUCACACUCCACUUCACAAUUGCCAAAAUUUCAAACGUGCCUUUUGUCUUACUUUAUUUUUUUUCAGCAAAAAAUAAUUUUUAUUAAAUAUCAGAAGUAGAAUAAGUUAAAAGAGAGAUUAUAAAGAAUAGUAAUAAUAGACAACGUUAAAGUCAAGUUGUAAUUAGAAAAUAUAUCGUGGCAGGGGGAGCCGUGGAUUCCCCAACUAUCAAUAAACCCUAAUUUAAGAAAUCAUAUAUAAGAGACUUAUGUCACAUGGUUCAAUGACUUAUAAUAAUCUUUACUAUAUCAUCUUGUUAUUUUUAAUUAGCUCAACUAAUUUACCACACAUGUUAGCCCAUCAUCUUUGAAUGUCUCUUUUUUUUAAUUAGACACGUUUACGACCAAGUUAAGUUAUAUUAGUUACACUUAAUUUCAGCAAUUCAUUUUCUUUAAUCUAACAGACCAAAUGAGUAAGUGCAAUAAAUAAUGAGAGAGAAAAAAAAUCUUAAAUAACUUAUUGCACUCACCAUUUGAUCUGUUAGAUUAAAGAAAAUGAAUAAAAUUGAGUGUAAUUAAAGUAAACGGAACUUAGCUGUAAAUAGAUCAGUUUACACCCAAGUUCAGUUACACUAGUUAAACUCAAUCUCAACUAUUCAUUUUCUUAAAUCUAACGGAUCAAAUGAGUGUAAAUAAAUGACUGAGAUUGAGUAUAAUUAAUGUAACUUAACAUCCCUCCUCUAUUUCUAAAACCCUAAUAUAAAAGCAAACCCAACGUUAGUGUUUAGAGGUGACACAUUAAUGAUUGAAGGUAGAUACUCUCCAUUCUAUGUAAUUGAAUCUGAAUCUUAGUACAUGAGAACAUUAUUUUCAAUGAAUAAAACAAUGUAAGUGGACAACCUACCCUUAAAAUGGGUGAUAAAAACAACGCCACUCUCAUGCUGAAUAAGAAUAUAAUAAUAGUUCUUGUACAAUGGGAAAGCAAAAACAAUUAUAUAUUGUAUGAAUUAUAUUGAAAAUUUGAUAAUUAAAUAAUGAGAUUAUAAAACAAAAAGAACAAAUUUGUCGUACACCAAUAGGUCCUUUCAAUGUUUAAAUUAAGUGAUGGUUGAAUUAGUAUUUUUUUAUGGAAAAAGGGUAAUAAUAUUUUUAAAAUUGAGUUUGGGAUACAUUAUUUUCCAAAGAAAUUUACAAACAACAAAAUCAAGAUAAUUGAGUAAAACAAUGCGCGAAGGUUGAAAAUCCAACUAGAAUAAGGUACUAAAGACAAGUUAUAUAUUCCGUUAAUCCAUAGCCAAAAUUUCAUCUUCACUGAAUCUAUAAAUUGUUGCAUUGUCGAUUUGAUUGACUUGAAGAUAACAUCAUUAUGUGCUAGCCAAAUGGACCACGUUAUUGUAAACCGUAUGAUGUUUCAAAACUUUGGACUUUUCUUUUCUUGUAAAAUGGCAAGAUCAUAUGCAUGAGAAACUAGGUUAUUUGGUCAGAAAAUAAAAUGAUGCUAAAAUCAAGCCAACUUUAAAUCAAAUGCAAGACUGAGUAUCUGAACCAACAAGUAAAGGAAAGAAGGUAAUAAGUGGAAGUGAUUUUUUAUUUAUUUAUUUAUAAAAGGUAGAGUGCAGCAGCACCCAAUAUAUUAAUAAUAGUUAAGAGAUUAAAGUCAAAAGUGAUCUAAAUUUCAAAGUUGAAAUGUAUAAAUAACAUUUAUAUAUGUGCCGAAGAGCAUAGUACUGGAUGUAGAUAUUGACGUAUGACAUAAAAUUUCUUUUAACAAUCUAGAUUUUAAUUAAUAUUUAAUAAAAUUUCUUUGAACGAUUUUGAGACUUACAUUCCAGUACUGGGUCCGGUACACGAGUCCACAUAGUGUGUAAUUUUCCAAUCUCAACAGCUCAAUUUACUAGUGUGGUAAUCACAAUGAAAAGGAGGCUAUAAAUAUGGGGGUAAUGGUUGAAGUUUAGUGAAUCAUAGCUAGCCAUGUCUAUUCUAACCUCAACCUUAUUGCCUUCAUCAUUACUCAUCCCAAGAAGAACCAAACCAAUUAACUCUCCAAAUAACAAAGUUGUGUUCCAUAAAAAUGAUCAUUAUUUGAAUAGGAUAGUGCCUCAAAAGAAGAAAGCUUCCUUCUGUAUCCAAGCACAAGCACAACAAGUAGAACCAUCCAUUCCUUCAUCUCCUAUUAUAUAUCCUACUGUGAGGCCUAAGUUUGUGUUGUUUGGUUCUUCCAUCAUUCAGUAUAGUUAUUAUGAAGGUUGGGGAGCUACUCUUGCUCAUUUGUAUGCACGCCAGGUAAUUUUUCCCGGAUAAUUAUGAUUUCUUUUCCCGAAAGAGUUGCUGAGAAGUAAGUCUCAUAUCAAAGUAAAAAUCGAACUUAUUUGUGGUUGUUAUAAGAUGUUUUUUAAUCAUGGAUCAAUAUAAUCCUUAGUCUAGUCCGAUAGACUUUUUUAGAAAUGACAUGUUGGGAAGUAAGUUCAACAUCGAUUUAAAUAUAUCUAACCUUAACAAAAAGAUAAUUCAAUAUAUAUUUAGUUGGUUAAUUUUUAACCUAUGUAUUUUCAUUCUCUCCCUCUAUCGUCUUCUUUCUUUCUGCACAAUCCCUCUCUUCUAUGGUGGUUGACCAAAGCCUAUAUGAAUGAUAGUGUUAUGAAAAAUAUAAAGUAAAAUAUUAUGCUAGUAGGGUAUACAAUAAUGUUAAUGACUUUAGUAACCAUUUGAGAAUCACAAAAAACUUAAUACUUUAAUAGUGAUCGAUGAAGGAGGAUUAGUACAGGAGAAGAUAGUGUUAUGAAAAAUAUAAAGUAAUAUAUAUAUAUAUAUAAUAAUAUUUGUAUCCAUUUAUUUAUAGUGAGAAUCUAAAAUGAAAAUAAUAUUCUCCUUUCUAAUACUUGAGAAAUUCCUCACUUGUGAUGAAUGAUGAGUAGUAGUUGGGAAUGGUAAUAUUUGAUUGAUGAUAAAUGUAACUAUGAUUUUGAAAGAGAAAAAAAAAAGGUGAUACUCUAUAAAAUAUGGUGUCACCAAAGUCUCAAUUUUAGGUGGUAAAUAUGGCAGACUUUGAUUUUUCAAAGAUGCACAGUCUUAAUUAAAAAUGAGUCGAAGUGUAACUAUUUUUUAUGUUGAUAAAUAAAUAUUUAUUUUGUCUGCACUAAUUAAAGACCGAUUAAUACUAUUGUUAUUUUUAAUUUCAAUAUUCGGUCAAACUUUCUUUUUCUCAAUUCUACCUUCAUUCGAUAAUUAUUCAUAUUAUUCUUUUUACUUUAUUUUAUUUUUUCUUCUCUCUUCACUACACAUACCAAUUAAUACACAUGAACAAAAUAAAAUAUAAAAUAAAUGAAAUUAUUUUAUUUAACAUAUAAUACCUUUUAAUAACUUUUUAAUUUAUGUGAUUAACCUUAGAAAAGCGAGAAAUUCUUUAAAAGAAUAUUAAGUAGUUUUCUGUUUUUCUUUAUCUGAAAUUAGAAUUUAAAUUAAACGUUAUAAUGGGUCUUUUUUACAACAUUCUUGUAAUGUUAAAGUUAUGAUCUUUUUAUAUGAUCAUUUUUAAAAUUAUAUAUUAAUUCCUUUUGUUAUUUAAAUAUUCUAUGAUUAAUAGAAAAGAUAAAAACUAUAAUUAAUUGAGUAAAAAAGAAAACAAAAGAGUCUCGUUAAUGAAAUUACAUGUAUUAUAAUUUUAAUUAUGUGAAGAGAUAAUUUAUCUUGAGUAAUUUAUUACGUAAUAUGAUGGAUAAUAAAUGUGUUACAUUAUUAAUCGCAAUUGAAUAAUGUGAUGACAUAGGUGGAUAUAGUUUUGCGUGGAUAUGGAGGUUGGAAUUCAAGGACUGCUCUACGGGUCCUGGACAAAGUUUUUCCAAAGGUCAGCAUUUUCGUUACUUUUUUCUAAUUUAUAAAAUAUAACAUAUAAUAUUAAACCAUCUAUUUAAUAAUACAUGUGUUUAACCAUAAGUAUAUAAUUUGAUAUAUUUAUAUAACUAUUGUUAACCUUAAUUAUUUCAUCUUGUUAGACUAACCUUAAUUGUUAUUACAUUAUUUACCAUUCAUUUUUAGUUAUAAUUGACUCUUAAGUAAAAAUAAUACAAAUGAAAUAGUUGAUGUAUUGAAUGUAUGUAAAUUUUCACACUAAUUAUGCAUAGAUAUUAAUAUCAUAUAACAUAUAAGUGUAUUGGCAAAUUACAUCAUUCAAUAAUAUAAGUUUUUUUUUAAUAUUUUUUAAUCUUAACCGUCACUUAAUUUUAUUAAUAAAUCCAAUGGUUUGUAACUUGUCCAACAAGCUAAAACUUAUCAAGUGCACCAAACUGAAACUAAAACUAAUGCAUGGUAGAAUUAAGGAAAAAAUUGUUUUCUUAAUACUUUUUGUUAGAGUUGGUUAAAACAUGACAAAGAGUCAAAGGUGCACAAUAUGACGAAUAAGCUUCAAACAAAAUUAGGCUUCAUUCUUCAUCUAACUUUUCAAACAAAUUUUAUUUAUCUUAUUUCAAGUUGAUACAUAACAAACUUGGACUUUUUUUAGGAAAAGAUAAAGGAAAAAAUACAAAUUAAAUAAUAUUGUUGUGCUUCCCAUGUGCUAGGUUUUUUACUUUUUAUCAUACACAUUUAAUUUGUUUCCAAAACUCUCUCACAUAGUUCUUCAUCCAAAAAAGUCUUGUAUAUUUUUAUUUUGGACACAAUUGUUUCUAUACAUGUGGUUCCAAACAUAUGGCCCCUUUACAUCACUUGCACCCUCAAAACUCUCCCACACAUUCACGUCUUUCCCCUACAAUUUCAAACAUAUAUGAUAAUCUACCUCACAAUAGAAUUAACAAAUUGACUAUGAGUAAUGAUAUAUUCUCAUAUUAAAUCAUCUUACUAAUCAUCUUAGCCACAAAAAAAUGAUACAUGUCACUUAUAAAUCAAUCAUUAAUAAAUAAAGUAUCUUUUUAUGAUAUGUGUCGUCUCCGUGUGAGUAGGAGGAUUAGUAAGAAGAUGUAGUAGGAGGAUAUAUCAUUUCCCAUUUACUAUAUAUGUUACAUAUCUAGGUUAAAUUAUAAUAUUGCACACGAUAUCCUCAACUUGAUCUAAGAAGUUAGAUUAUUUUGAUUUUAACAAUAUUAAAUGUAAAAUAAUGAAUUUCUUAAUUAUCACACUUUGUUAAAUGUACAUAAGGUUUAAUUUUUUUAAAACUUUGGACAAUAUGAUUACUUUAAUUUUUUGAUCAAAUUGACAUAUAAAGAAUCAUUUUUUUCUCUCUUUGAUUUUCUUUAACUCAGAAUGCACCUCAACAACCAUCAUUAGUGAUUGUAUAUUUUGGUGGUAAUGAUGCUACUCAUCCACAACAAGAUGGAAAUGGUCCUCAUGUACCUCUAGAAGAAUACAAUGAAAAUAUGAGAACAAUUUUUAUCCAUCUUCAGGUAAACUUUCACUUUAUAUUUCAUUAUCAUGUGAAUUAAAUCACUCAUAUAUCCUUAUAUACUAAGUUUUCUAAACUUGACUACAAAGUUUGACUCAAAUUCAAAUGCUUUUCAGAGUCUUUCAGAGAACACUCGCAUUUUAUUUCUCAGUACUCCUCCCAUCAACGAGGAACAACUCUAUGGAGACAGGUUUAGAUUGAAAUUAUUUUGCUAUUUGAUAUUUAUAAUUUCAUAGAAACAAACAAUUUUUUUAUAAGCAAAAUGUAUUAAAACCAAACAUAUUCCAAAAACAAAAGGUUUAGAGUAUAGUUUAAAUUGUGGUGCAAAAUUGUAAUGGUUUUGAGAAUCUUGAGACAAUUAAAUGCAUAUAGUUUUCUAUAAUUAUCGUAAAUAUUAUACCUUAAACAUAAUAUUUAAUUGAAAUUCCAAUUUUAUAAUACAUAUAAUAAUAGCAUAACACUUAUAUCUACAGUCUACACAUAAUCUACUUAAAGAUAUACUGGAAAAAAUGUAUUAUGACACGAAAGUUUACAUGUCAAUCUAAAAUGUACUUAAACAUUUAAAUUUUUUGAUUAUUUAAAUUUACAUUUCAAUCUAAAACUCUGAUGAGUAAGUUGUUGAAAUUGAAACAGUAUUCCUCUUGACCCACCAAAGACAAAUGAAUCCCAUCGAAUAUACUCAGAAGAAGGUUUAAAAGUGUGCCGGGAGUUGAAUAUAAAGGCCAUUGAUCUAUGGUCAGCAAUUCAGGAGGAAAGGGAGGAUUGGAAAGAUGUUUCUUUCAUGUAAGUAUGCUAUCGUAUAGGAAAAUAACCCAAUUUGAAUUUGAUUCUUAAAACAAAAUAUAAAAUAAUUUUAAAUAGUAAUAAAAAAAUUCAAGUUGGGACAAUUUGAUCAAUGGGAAAAGGUCACCAAAUAAAUUUUUUUAAAAUUUUCUAUCGUGUAAUAAAUUAGUCACUUAAAUUUAGGAAAAUAUUUAUUGUCUCUUAAAAUAAAGUGCCUCUUAUAUGAUUGAUUGAAAAUAUUUAAUUAUUUAUUAUUUAUAUCAAUCAUAAAGAGUGACAGAUAGUUGUAGUAUAUGAAAUAAGAGAACAUAUAAAUUUUCUUAAAUUUAGAUUAAAUUGACUGACUUGAAAUUUUUGAAACACCAAUUUAUAAAAACUAAUAAUUUGAAGCUAUAUUGAAAGACUUUAAUUUUAAGGUUUAUCAAAAGUAAUAAGUAACAAUUCCUUAAUGUGAUUAAGUGUUUUGCUUUUUUUUUUUAUAAGCAAAUAUAUUAGAAACGGGCAUAAGAGGUGACAAACCAAUUACUGAUUAAGUGUUUUGAGUUUAAUUUUGUAUAUUUACUUUUAAGUGAAAUAUUAUUGUAUUUUUUGCUAGCACAAAAAAUACAAAAAUAUUAUUCAGUUAUCUUUAAUAUAAUUAUGUGAGACUUAAUUAUAAUAUUUCAAAGGUUUAAAACUGAUAGUCAAUUUUGAAAACCAAAAACCAAAAUUUAUGCUAAAUUAAUGUGUUGUUAAUUGAAUCUAAAUGGAUUGAAUGAGGUUUUUGUUUUAUAUUUACUAGCAUGUCGACCCGCAUUCUUAUUUUUUUUAUAUAAGUGUAUAAGUAUAAAAAAUGAAAUAUAUAAAUUCAAUAGAAAAUGUAAAUUUCUCGUGCAUUUAAUAAUCAUUAUUGAGUUGAUAUAUUUUUUCACGUGCUAUUGUUUUAUUUUUGGGUUGAAAAAGAGAGAAGAUAAAAAAGAAUGUGUAGAUAAGUAAUAAUAUAUUGAUGAAAAAUGAAAGCAAAAUGUGGAAGUUUCCAUUUAUUAAGGAGAGAGGUUAAAAAGAUUAAAAAUGGAAUUUAAAAAUUAUACCAUACAUGCAUGGUUGGUUAUUACUUGUUUUAGCUUUAUUAAUAGUAUAGAUGUAUACAGGCAAUAAUUGCGCAAAUAAUAUAUGCACGACAGAAGUGUUUGUAUACAUUUAUAGAAUGUAAUGUCAAUGUAAUAAUAAUGUAUUAUUUAUUAUUUAUUUGUAUUACUUUUAUUUAAGAAUCAAUAAUAAUUAAAUAUAAAUAAUAAUUAUAGUGUAAAAGCUAUGUAUAAGUAUCUUCACAUCUACAUCUUAUGAGGUUGGAGAUUAUAACUCAUCACCUGCUUUGGGUUAUUAUAAUAUUUUUUAUAUCAAUUAUUCACCUAACAACUAGGAAUUAAUUAAAAAAUAUUUUGGUUUAAAAUAUGAUUUAUACUUGAAUAUGUUUUGUUAUAGCAUUAGUCCUUAAUGAUGACGCUAUUAAAACCAACCAUCAUAUAAUCCUAAUUUCUGAUGUGGCUAAUUAUGAAUUUUCAAGUCAUUCAUCAAGAAACUAAAAUCAAAUUCAUGGAACAUUAUAAGAACUAAAUUGGACAAAAAUAAUUCAUAGAGAUUAAAACUAAACCUCCCUAAUUUUUUCAGGUCAGAAUAAUAUUUAAGUAAAAUAUUUUAACAACUUUCUUGAAAAACAGACAUAACAAAGAUUUGAACAAGCUAUGUUAAGAGAUUUUCCCCUAUUUGAUCGUCCAAUACUGAAAUAUGAAGAACUGAAUAAACUUAUAUAUUUUUCAAUCUAAAAAAUAAAAAAAUCCGCAUUUUUAAAAAAAAAAUUUGGUGUCACAUGUCAGAAUCUAAAUCCAAUAUUAAAUAAUUAUUAAUGAAGAGAAUCUAAACCCUUACCUUGUUCACAUGUUCAUUUACGCAAAUUUCUUAAAUAUAGUUACAUUAAUAACUAUUAUUUGUUCAACUAAUAACAAUAAUAACCAAAUCUUAAUAUUUGAUAGACUUUUAAGUAAUGAUAAAUUCUAAAUUUUUGAGAUGUGAGAAUAAUGUAGGCAAAAAAAGGACAUAUCUUUAUUAUAUAAUUUUAGGAUUUAAUUAUCAAUGUGAAUUAAAGAUUACUCAAUUCUGACGAAAUUUUCUAUCAUAGGCAAAAAUCUCAUCAUAGUACUAUUAUAUUAUUAUGGAUAAAAUGAAAACUAUCACUUUGUGUCUUUUACAAACGAUGUACAUAAAAUAAAAAUGAUUAUAGUCUAAAUUACUAUUCAAUUUUUGGGUCAAUUAAAUUAUGUUGUAAAUUCACCAAUUUUUGUGUUGGAUUUUUGUGCACUCGUUUAACCUGCAUAGAUUUAGACAAAAUUAUGUUGUAAAUUCACCAGUUAAAUAUGAUAAGUUUUAUCCUUCACAAUAUUGAAUGAUAUAAGCUUAUCCAUUUCAUGCAAAAUACACUUCAAAUGUGCUUAUAAUAAUUUUACUAAGCUACUUACGUGUAUAGGCCCAAUGACUUGUUUUUAAAUCAUACUUGUCUAUUUAUAAAACCAAUUUCAUUAUUUUUUAUUGUCUUCACGCCACUGCAAUGCCAUUAUGCAAUUGCAUGUUCCCUCAAUUAUUAUUCUUCCAGUUCACGUUUUCUUUCCCAAUUUUAAAACCAAUUUCAAGUUUGUAUUGGUGAAUAACUAGCUAGAAUAUAAUUUUAUUUCUCCAUCUCGGACCAAUCAAGUACUACUAGGUACAAUAUUUUAACUUUAAAAGUUAUUUUAAUUUUUAUUUGAUUGUCAAAAUCCUAAUUAUAGUAUUGUGGUAUAGAAAAAUGGAUAGAAAAUUUCAAUUUGACUACCCGACCCAAACUUUUUUUUAUUAGCAAAAUGAAAUUUAUUAAAUUAAGAUUCAAUAGACAUUUGUUUUGUACAUGUAAAGACUCAAAAGGAGAAAUGUAAAUCUCAUAUGAUAUGUGAGAGUGAAAAUUGUUGAAAAGAUAAUUCAUUCUUUAACUUCAUCUCAUCUCCAACAAAUCUAUGUUAUUCAUUCUCAAUUAGUUUAAUUAGCUCGUAAUACACGAGUUUCUUUUAAUUGUAAAUUAAAUUGCUGACGUUAUUUAAUCCUUAUCUUAUAAAGUUUUUAGGUGCACUCUUGUAUUAUAUUGUAGCACAUGCAUGUCCCUCAUAAGUACAACUCUCCUUUAAUAUUCAAAUGAAUACAUGUCGUAAGGAACUCUCCCUAUAGAAUAGCUAUAAUGAUAUUCUUGUUACAUUAUAAGAUUCUCUCUAAUAUUGGAAUACCCAAUUUUGAUAAUUUUUAAUAUUGUUUUAUUUAAAUUUUGGAUCAUUAAUAUUUAUUUUAAAGCACAUAUCACAAUUUUACCUACUAUUUACCUCGUUAUAGAGGUUACCUGAUCCUCCUUGUGCGACUUUCAAUUAGGAAUGAAGAUCAUAUGUCGUCGUUUAUAUUCUAAUUGGUUUCUCAAUCUAAUAAGAAAACUCUAUUUAUUUAAAUUGUUUUUAUAAAAACAUAAAUUAACAUUUUAAUAUUAUUUCGUAAGAUUUGAUUGAUCUAAGACAUAAUACAAAAAAAUUAUGAGAUCGAUGAUCAUUGUCAUUCAAUUACAUCUAACAGAUUCGAAUUCAAGUGGGUGGCUCCUAUACAACUCUUCAAUAUGGUUUGGUGUAGUUGCACCAUUCCCUUAAAAAAAAAACAACUCUUCAACAAUGUUCACACUCCACUUCACAAUUGCCAAAAUUUCAAACGUGCCUUUUGUCUUACUUUAUUUUUUUUCAGCAAAAAAUAAUUUUUAUUAAAUAUCAGAAGUAGAAUAAGUUAAAAGAGAGAUUAUAAAGAAUAGUAAUAAUAGACAACGUUAAAGUCAAGUUGUAAUUAGAAAAUAUAUCGUGGCAGGGGGAGCCGUGGAUUCCCCAACUAUCAAUAAACCCUAAUUUAAGAAAUCAUAUAUAAGAGACUUAUGUCACAUGGUUCAAUGACUUAUAAUAAUCUUUACUAUAUCAUCUUGUUAUUUUUAAUUAGCUCAACUAAUUUACCACACAUGUUAGCCCAUCAUCUUUGAAUGUCUCUUUUUUUUAAUUAGACACGUUUACGACCAAGUUAAGUUAUAUUAGUUACACUUAAUUUCAGCAAUUCAUUUUCUUUAAUCUAACAGACCAAAUGAGUAAGUGCAAUAAAUAAUGAGAGAGAAAAAAAAUCUUAAAUAACUUAUUGCACUCACCAUUUGAUCUGUUAGAUUAAAGAAAAUGAAUAAAAUUGAGUGUAAUUAAAGUAAACGGAACUUAGCUGUAAAUAGAUCAGUUUACACCCAAGUUCAGUUACACUAGUUAAACUCAAUCUCAACUAUUCAUUUUCUUAAAUCUAACGGAUCAAAUGAGUGUAAAUAAAUGACUGAGAUUGAGUAUAAUUAAUGUAACUUAACAUCCCUCCUCUAUUUCUAAAACCCUAAUAUAAAAGCAAACCCAACGUUAGUGUUUAGAGGUGACACAUUAAUGAUUGAAGGUAGAUACUCUCCAUUCUAUGUAAUUGAAUCUGAAUCUUAGUACAUGAGAACAUUAUUUUCAAUGAAUAAAACAAUGUAAGUGGACAACCUACCCUUAAAAUGGGUGAUAAAAACAACGCCACUCUCAUGCUGAAUAAGAAUAUAAUAAUAGUUCUUGUACAAUGGGAAAGCAAAAACAAUUAUAUAUUGUAUGAAUUAUAUUGAAAAUUUGAUAAUUAAAUAAUGAGAUUAUAAAACAAAAAGAACAAAUUUGUCGUACACCAAUAGGUCCUUUCAAUGUUUAAAUUAAGUGAUGGUUGAAUUAGUAUUUUUUUAUGGAAAAAGGGUAAUAAUAUUUUUAAAAUUGAGUUUGGGAUACAUUAUUUUCCAAAGAAAUUUACAAACAACAAAAUCAAGAUAAUUGAGUAAAACAAUGCGCGAAGGUUGAAAAUCCAACUAGAAUAAGGUACUAAAGACAAGUUAUAUAUUCCGUUAAUCCAUAGCCAAAAUUUCAUCUUCACUGAAUCUAUAAAUUGUUGCAUUGUCGAUUUGAUUGACUUGAAGAUAACAUCAUUAUGUGCUAGCCAAAUGGACCACGUUAUUGUAAACCGUAUGAUGUUUCAAAACUUUGGACUUUUCUUUUCUUGUAAAAUGGCAAGAUCAUAUGCAUGAGAAACUAGGUUAUUUGGUCAGAAAAUAAAAUGAUGCUAAAAUCAAGCCAACUUUAAAUCAAAUGCAAGACUGAGUAUCUGAACCAACAAGUAAAGGAAAGAAGGUAAUAAGUGGAAGUGAUUUUUUAUUUAUUUAUUUAUAAAAGGUAGAGUGCAGCAGCACCCAAUAUAUUAAUAAUAGUUAAGAGAUUAAAGUCAAAAGUGAUCUAAAUUUCAAAGUUGAAAUGUAUAAAUAACAUUUAUAUAUGUGCCGAAGAGCAUAGUACUGGAUGUAGAUAUUGACGUAUGACAUAAAAUUUCUUUUAACAAUCUAGAUUUUAAUUAAUAUUUAAUAAAAUUUCUUUGAACGAUUUUGAGACUUACAUUCCAGUACUGGGUCCGGUACACGAGUCCACAUAGUGUGUAAUUUUCCAAUCUCAACAGCUCAAUUUACUAGUGUGGUAAUCACAAUGAAAAGGAGGCUAUAAAUAUGGGGGUAAUGGUUGAAGUUUAGUGAAUCAUAGCUAGCCAUGUCUAUUCUAACCUCAACCUUAUUGCCUUCAUCAUUACUCAUCCCAAGAAGAACCAAACCAAUUAACUCUCCAAAUAACAAAGUUGUGUUCCAUAAAAAUGAUCAUUAUUUGAAUAGGAUAGUGCCUCAAAAGAAGAAAGCUUCCUUCUGUAUCCAAGCACAAGCACAACAAGUAGAACCAUCCAUUCCUUCAUCUCCUAUUAUAUAUCCUACUGUGAGGCCUAAGUUUGUGUUGUUUGGUUCUUCCAUCAUUCAGUAUAGUUAUUAUGAAGGUUGGGGAGCUACUCUUGCUCAUUUGUAUGCACGCCAGGUAAUUUUUCCCGGAUAAUUAUGAUUUCUUUUCCCGAAAGAGUUGCUGAGAAGUAAGUCUCAUAUCAAAGUAAAAAUCGAACUUAUUUGUGGUUGUUAUAAGAUGUUUUUUAAUCAUGGAUCAAUAUAAUCCUUAGUCUAGUCCGAUAGACUUUUUUAGAAAUGACAUGUUGGGAAGUAAGUUCAACAUCGAUUUAAAUAUAUCUAACCUUAACAAAAAGAUAAUUCAAUAUAUAUUUAGUUGGUUAAUUUUUAACCUAUGUAUUUUCAUUCUCUCCCUCUAUCGUCUUCUUUCUUUCUGCACAAUCCCUCUCUUCUAUGGUGGUUGACCAAAGCCUAUAUGAAUGAUAGUGUUAUGAAAAAUAUAAAGUAAAAUAUUAUGCUAGUAGGGUAUACAAUAAUGUUAAUGACUUUAGUAACCAUUUGAGAAUCACAAAAAACUUAAUACUUUAAUAGUGAUCGAUGAAGGAGGAUUAGUACAGGAGAAGAUAGUGUUAUGAAAAAUAUAAAGUAAUAUAUAUAUAUAUAUAAUAAUAUUUGUAUCCAUUUAUUUAUAGUGAGAAUCUAAAAUGAAAAUAAUAUUCUCCUUUCUAAUACUUGAGAAAUUCCUCACUUGUGAUGAAUGAUGAGUAGUAGUUGGGAAUGGUAAUAUUUGAUUGAUGAUAAAUGUAACUAUGAUUUUGAAAGAGAAAAAAAAAAGGUGAUACUCUAUAAAAUAUGGUGUCACCAAAGUCUCAAUUUUAGGUGGUAAAUAUGGCAGACUUUGAUUUUUCAAAGAUGCACAGUCUUAAUUAAAAAUGAGUCGAAGUGUAACUAUUUUUUAUGUUGAUAAAUAAAUAUUUAUUUUGUCUGCACUAAUUAAAGACCGAUUAAUACUAUUGUUAUUUUUAAUUUCAAUAUUCGGUCAAACUUUCUUUUUCUCAAUUCUACCUUCAUUCGAUAAUUAUUCAUAUUAUUCUUUUUACUUUAUUUUAUUUUUUCUUCUCUCUUCACUACACAUACCAAUUAAUACACAUGAACAAAAUAAAAUAUAAAAUAAAUGAAAUUAUUUUAUUUAACAUAUAAUACCUUUUAAUAACUUUUUAAUUUAUGUGAUUAACCUUAGAAAAGCGAGAAAUUCUUUAAAAGAAUAUUAAGUAGUUUUCUGUUUUUCUUUAUCUGAAAUUAGAAUUUAAAUUAAACGUUAUAAUGGGUCUUUUUUACAACAUUCUUGUAAUGUUAAAGUUAUGAUCUUUUUAUAUGAUCAUUUUUAAAAUUAUAUAUUAAUUCCUUUUGUUAUUUAAAUAUUCUAUGAUUAAUAGAAAAGAUAAAAACUAUAAUUAAUUGAGUAAAAAAGAAAACAAAAGAGUCUCGUUAAUGAAAUUACAUGUAUUAUAAUUUUAAUUAUGUGAAGAGAUAAUUUAUCUUGAGUAAUUUAUUACGUAAUAUGAUGGAUAAUAAAUGUGUUACAUUAUUAAUCGCAAUUGAAUAAUGUGAUGACAUAGGUGGAUAUAGUUUUGCGUGGAUAUGGAGGUUGGAAUUCAAGGACUGCUCUACGGGUCCUGGACAAAGUUUUUCCAAAGGUCAGCAUUUUCGUUACUUUUUUCUAAUUUAUAAAAUAUAACAUAUAAUAUUAAACCAUCUAUUUAAUAAUACAUGUGUUUAACCAUAAGUAUAUAAUUUGAUAUAUUUAUAUAACUAUUGUUAACCUUAAUUAUUUCAUCUUGUUAGACUAACCUUAAUUGUUAUUACAUUAUUUACCAUUCAUUUUUAGUUAUAAUUGACUCUUAAGUAAAAAUAAUACAAAUGAAAUAGUUGAUGUAUUGAAUGUAUGUAAAUUUUCACACUAAUUAUGCAUAGAUAUUAAUAUCAUAUAACAUAUAAGUGUAUUGGCAAAUUACAUCAUUCAAUAAUAUAAGUUUUUUUUUAAUAUUUUUUAAUCUUAACCGUCACUUAAUUUUAUUAAUAAAUCCAAUGGUUUGUAACUUGUCCAACAAGCUAAAACUUAUCAAGUGCACCAAACUGAAACUAAAACUAAUGCAUGGUAGAAUUAAGGAAAAAAUUGUUUUCUUAAUACUUUUUGUUAGAGUUGGUUAAAACAUGACAAAGAGUCAAAGGUGCACAAUAUGACGAAUAAGCUUCAAACAAAAUUAGGCUUCAUUCUUCAUCUAACUUUUCAAACAAAUUUUAUUUAUCUUAUUUCAAGUUGAUACAUAACAAACUUGGACUUUUUUUAGGAAAAGAUAAAGGAAAAAAUACAAAUUAAAUAAUAUUGUUGUGCUUCCCAUGUGCUAGGUUUUUUACUUUUUAUCAUACACAUUUAAUUUGUUUCCAAAACUCUCUCACAUAGUUCUUCAUCCAAAAAAGUCUUGUAUAUUUUUAUUUUGGACACAAUUGUUUCUAUACAUGUGGUUCCAAACAUAUGGCCCCUUUACAUCACUUGCACCCUCAAAACUCUCCCACACAUUCACGUCUUUCCCCUACAAUUUCAAACAUAUAUGAUAAUCUACCUCACAAUAGAAUUAACAAAUUGACUAUGAGUAAUGAUAUAUUCUCAUAUUAAAUCAUCUUACUAAUCAUCUUAGCCACAAAAAAAUGAUACAUGUCACUUAUAAAUCAAUCAUUAAUAAAUAAAGUAUCUUUUUAUGAUAUGUGUCGUCUCCGUGUGAGUAGGAGGAUUAGUAAGAAGAUGUAGUAGGAGGAUAUAUCAUUUCCCAUUUACUAUAUAUGUUACAUAUCUAGGUUAAAUUAUAAUAUUGCACACGAUAUCCUCAACUUGAUCUAAGAAGUUAGAUUAUUUUGAUUUUAACAAUAUUAAAUGUAAAAUAAUGAAUUUCUUAAUUAUCACACUUUGUUAAAUGUACAUAAGGUUUAAUUUUUUUAAAACUUUGGACAAUAUGAUUACUUUAAUUUUUUGAUCAAAUUGACAUAUAAAGAAUCAUUUUUUUCUCUCUUUGAUUUUCUUUAACUCAGAAUGCACCUCAACAACCAUCAUUAGUGAUUGUAUAUUUUGGUGGUAAUGAUGCUACUCAUCCACAACAAGAUGGAAAUGGUCCUCAUGUACCUCUAGAAGAAUACAAUGAAAAUAUGAGAACAAUUUUUAUCCAUCUUCAGGUAAACUUUCACUUUAUAUUUCAUUAUCAUGUGAAUUAAAUCACUCAUAUAUCCUUAUAUACUAAGUUUUCUAAACUUGACUACAAAGUUUGACUCAAAUUCAAAUGCUUUUCAGAGUCUUUCAGAGAACACUCGCAUUUUAUUUCUCAGUACUCCUCCCAUCAACGAGGAACAACUCUAUGGAGACAGGUUUAGAUUGAAAUUAUUUUGCUAUUUGAUAUUUAUAAUUUCAUAGAAACAAACAAUUUUUUUAUAAGCAAAAUGUAUUAAAACCAAACAUAUUCCAAAAACAAAAGGUUUAGAGUAUAGUUUAAAUUGUGGUGCAAAAUUGUAAUGGUUUUGAGAAUCUUGAGACAAUUAAAUGCAUAUAGUUUUCUAUAAUUAUCGUAAAUAUUAUACCUUAAACAUAAUAUUUAAUUGAAAUUCCAAUUUUAUAAUACAUAUAAUAAUAGCAUAACACUUAUAUCUACAGUCUACACAUAAUCUACUUAAAGAUAUACUGGAAAAAAUGUAUUAUGACACGAAAGUUUACAUGUCAAUCUAAAAUGUACUUAAACAUUUAAAUUUUUUGAUUAUUUAAAUUUACAUUUCAAUCUAAAACUCUGAUGAGUAAGUUGUUGAAAUUGAAACAGUAUUCCUCUUGACCCACCAAAGACAAAUGAAUCCCAUCGAAUAUACUCAGAAGAAGGUUUAAAAGUGUGCCGGGAGUUGAAUAUAAAGGCCAUUGAUCUAUGGUCAGCAAUUCAGGAGGAAAGGGAGGAUUGGAAAGAUGUUUCUUUCAUGUAAGUAUGCUAUCGUAUAGGAAAAUAACCCAAUUUGAAUUUGAUUCUUAAAACAAAAUAUAAAAUAAUUUUAAAUAGUAAUAAAAAAAUUCAAGUUGGGACAAUUUGAUCAAUGGGAAAAGGUCACCAAAUAAAUUUUUUUAAAAUUUUCUAUCGUGUAAUAAAUUAGUCACUUAAAUUUAGGAAAAUAUUUAUUGUCUCUUAAAAUAAAGUGCCUCUUAUAUGAUUGAUUGAAAAUAUUUAAUUAUUUAUUAUUUAUAUCAAUCAUAAAGAGUGACAGAUAGUUGUAGUAUAUGAAAUAAGAGAACAUAUAAAUUUUCUUAAAUUUAGAUUAAAUUGACUGACUUGAAAUUUUUGAAACACCAAUUUAUAAAAACUAAUAAUUUGAAGCUAUAUUGAAAGACUUUAAUUUUAAGGUUUAUCAAAAGUAAUAAGUAACAAUUCCUUAAUGUGAUUAAGUGUUUUGCUUUUUUUUUUUAUAAGCAAAUAUAUUAGAAACGGGCAUAAGAGGUGACAAACCAAUUACUGAUUAAGUGUUUUGCUUAUUUCUUAUAGUGAUGGAAUUCAUUUUACCAAAGAGGGAAGCAAUGUAGUCUCAAAGAAGAUAUUGAAGGUUCUUAGAGAAGCAGAUUGGGAACCUAGUCUGCAUUGGGAAGAUAUGCCCAUUGAGUUUAAAGACUAUUAUACCCCUAUUGGUCCUGGUGGAGAGCCUAUUGAUGAAUCCAACACUCGCUUCCCUCCAGGUGUAGAAUGGGAAUGAGAUUAAACAUUUAGUAUUGUGCCUAAAUAAAUAUGGUAUUAUUCAUUCGGGAGCACAUCUAAUGUCCUAUAUAGGGUGUUAUUUUAUAUGUUAUUGGUUGUGAUUGGUUGAAAAAUGUAUUUAAGUUAAAAAUUUGAUAAUUAAGUAUUUUUUGACCAAUCACAAGCAGUGACGUAUAAAAUGUUAUAGUUUUUUGUGACGAGAGAUGUUCUCCCAAUUGUUUAAGGCAUUUUCAAUAAUUUCUCCCUUGUUUUUCACUUUGUGAGUGGUGUGAAUGUGUGACUGUAUUUGUGCUUCUCUUUAGCCAAUAAAAAAUAUUAUCUUGAUAAUCUAUCUAUAUUAACUCUUGUCAUUUGAAUUUUAGAUGAUUUUUGGAAAUUUGUUUAACAUAAAAAUUGAAAAGACUGGAUAUAGAGAUAAUUUAAUUUGUUGUGAAAUAAGUUGUCAAAAGAUGAUCUGGACAGUAAAAGAAUGUGGUUUGCUAGGGUUUGACCUCCAACAUUCUUGGAUUUUCAUUUUUCAUCACGCACAUCGCACCAAUCAUUCCAUGGCCUUUCCUUGGAGGUUCAACCUCAGCAGGGGAUGCUCCUCCUCCUUCGAUCCCAGUUCAAGAACCUGGCUUGGUUCCAGCUGAAAAUAAAUCUUUUGCCCAAGCUCUCAAAAACUCAUGCAACUUCACAAUAUCACAGUUGCCUCAACCUUGCAUUAAGGGAGAAGCUAUUGCCAUUAAAAUACCAGAGGAAGAUUAUCAAGUAGGUUUGCAAAGGUGUAAAAACCACCUUCAUGGUCGCCUAAUCCUAUCAAAAGGGGACAACCCGUUAAAGUUCACAGGUCUAAAGGAGAAACUUGCCUUGCUUUGGUGCAAGCUGGGCAAAUGGUCAAUGAUUUCUCUAGGCAAGGGCUUCUAUGAUUUUUCUUUCUCCUCCUUGGAAGAUAUGCGCAGUGUGUGUUCAGUAGGUGCUUGGAGUUUGAAAUCAGGGUUCCUCCGAGUUUUCCUUUGGACCCCUGACUUCAACCUGAAUGUGCAAAAAUCUUCUCAUGCUCAAGUUUGGGUUCGUAUCCUUAAUCUGCCCCAUGAAUAUUGGAGUGCUAGAAUCAUCUUCUCAAUAGCAGGAGGAAUAGGUACUCCCAUAUCUUUAGAUGAAGCAACUACAAACAGAUCUUUUGGACAUUUUGCCAAAGUCUUGGUGGAACUAAAUCUGAAAUCUAAGCUGCCAAAUCAAAUACUUGUGGAGAGGGACGACUUUGCAUUCUUUGUGCCUAUAGAAUACGAGAGUCUCCCACAUUUCUGUAAUGGAUGUCAAACAAUUGGGCACACAUUGGCUAACUAUCGAAGGCACAAGGUUGCUGAAGACAUUCCUAAGCCAACAGCCAAAAAGCCACACAACAAAGAAAAAUCCAAACUUGUUAUUGUAGAGGAUUUGUGUAUUGAUCUGAUUAUUGAAGAUAAUGAAAAUCUCGAGGGUAUUGAAAGAAUGGAACUCACUCCAAUUGUGCAUAACGACCCGGUUGUAGCACAAGUGGCCAUUCCAGAAGAAAAACUAGGUGAAAUCCCACUAAGUGAGGCUCUAGAUACUAUGCAGGGUCAUAGUGAAAAUUUUGUGGUUCAAGAAACUGAUUUUUUCUCUAAUCAGGUGGCAGCUAGUGACAUGAGGAUUGUAGGGAAACUUUGGGCGGAUGAGGUUGAAGUCCAAGAGGAGGAGGAUAAUGAGGACAGCUUCACGCAUGUUCUUAGCAAAUCUCAGAAAAAAAAGAUGAAGAAAAAAAAUUCACAAGAAAAGGUCUACUUUACCCGAAGGGGUGGUAAUAUACACAUUAAUUAAUGAAGGUUAUGUACUGGAAUUGUAGAGGUUUUGGUAACACAAACUCUAGGAUGGUUCUAAAGAAUUUUUGUCUUUCUAAUAAACCUGACUUGGUCUUCCUGGCUGAGCCAAUGAUUACUUCGAAUUUAGUGAAUCACUCUUUCUGGAGUGCCCUGAAUUUCAAGAUGUUUGCUGUGAACAACAAAGGUAACCAAAUUCCAAACCUUUGGGGGCUUUGUAAAAUUGGGCUCUUCUUCUCGGUCAUUGCUACAUCGAGUCAACACAUAUCUAUCUCAAUUACUCUGGACAAUAAGCAUUUUCUCAUGAGUGCUAUAUAUGCCUAUACUAACCACAUCCAUCGAAGACAACUGUGGUCUGAUCUUCAAAAUCUCAUGGCUACCUAUCCUGAUUCUUGGUGUACUUUGGGUGACUACAAUGCAGUUUUAGGUGCCCAUGAGUGCAAAGGGCAAAAACUUUCUUCUUGGAUUUCCUAUGAUGAGUUUAAAAGUUUUGCUGAUAACAACAACCUUUUGCAUUUGCCCACUAUAGGAGCUAAGUUCACCUGGUCUAAUAGGAGAAGGGGGUAGCCCUUACUGAAAGAAGGUUGGACAGAGCUCUCUGUAAUGAGGAGUGGCUUGGUGUUUGGACUCAUGUAUCUUAAUGUACCUUGCCAAGGAUUGCUUCUGAUCAUUUUCCUUUGCUGUUGGCCUCUUGUUCUAUCAUCAUCAAUAAGCCAACACCAUUUAGAUUCCAUAAAAUGUGGUUGAGCCAUUUGGAUUGUAAAAGAUUGGUUUCUGUCACCUGGAGUAAUUCUGUGAUAGGUUGCCAUAUGUUUGUUCUAGCUCAAAAACUUAGAUUACUGAAACAUGAGCUGAAAGGGUGGAACAAAAACGUUUUUGGUAAUAUUCAUCUCAGAGUUAGUCAAGCUAAACUCAAGGUUAAGGAGAUUCAGAGAUGUAUGGAGCUCAUUGAACCUGCUCAGGAUUUGUUAGAUCAAGAUAACCUGGCUCAAAAUGAGUUGUUACAUGCUCUAAGGGUGGAAGAGGAAUUCUGGCAUGAGAAGUCUAGGCUAAAUUGGCACAUUAAUGGUGAUAGAAACACUAGCUUCUUUCACAAGGUUGCCAAAAUCAGGCACACAACAAAAUCUAUCUUUAUGCUAAAUAAUGGUGACAGAGUUCUGGACAACCAUGAAGACAUAGCCAACCAUGUGUUCCUACUUUACUGACUUGUUUGCCUCUCAAAACAACACUACCCCUAAUGGAUUAAUCAAUGAUGUAAUUCCUAGCUUGGUCAAUGACAUGGGCAACUCUAUGCUUACUGCUCUGCCCUUAUCCUCUGAAAUCAAGAAUGUUGUUUUCUCAAUGAAUGGUGAUGGGGCCCCUGGCCCUGAUGGCUUUGGUGGUAGCUUCUAUCAAGCUUUCUAGGACAUUGUUGAGUUGGAUGUGUGCAACUCUGUUUGCCAAUUUUUUAAGCAUGAUUGGAUUCUCCCAAACUUAAACUCCAACUCUGUAAUCCUAAUACAUAAGUUUAAGGAAGCUGACAAAGUGGAGGAUUUUAGGCAUAUAGCUUUGGCCAAUUUCCAAUUUAAGAUAAUCACAAAGGUCCUGGCUGAUAGAGUUUCCAUAAUUGCUCCUAAAAUUAUUUGUACUCACCAAAGGGGAUUUAUCAAGGACAGGAAAAUUCAGGACUGCAUUUGCAUUGCUUCAGAAUCAAUUAACCUGCUUGACCAUAAAGUCUUUGGAGGCAAUCUUGCAAUCAAGUUGGACACUCUCAAGGCUUUUGGUUUUUGCAACAAAUUCUGCUCCUGGAUAAAAAAUAUCCUUCAAUUAGCUAGAUUGUCAAUCAAUGUUAAUGGCCAAAGUGUGGGAUUCUUCAAUUGUAGUAGAGGGGUUAGGCAAGGUGAUCCCAUUUCUCCUUUGCUUUUUUGUAUUGUAGAAGAUGUGCAAAGCAGGGGCAUUAUGAAGUUGGUUAAUGAAGGCAAACUCAACUCUAUUUCUGGUCCUGCCUUAUCUAAAACUCCUAGCCAUAUCCUAUGUGCUGAUGAUAUACUCAUCUUCUGUAAAAGAAUUAAAAGAGAGCUGCUCUCUCUCAACCAACUUGUCAAGGAGUAUGCCUCUGUCUCUGGUCAACAUAUCAAUGCCAAUAAAUGCAAGUGUUACUCUACUAAUGCUUCUCCUAGGAAAUUGGCUAAUCUCAAAAAUCUACUUGGGGUUCUCUUCGGGUUCCCUCCCUUUUUCCUAUCUUGGUGUCCCAAUCUUCAUAGGGAAGCCUAAGAAGUCUCACCUUCAGCCUAAAGCUGAUAAGAUCUUAGACAAGUUAGCUAAGUGGAAGGGCUCUAGUCUUUCUAUUAUGAGCAGAGUUGAGCUGGUGAAAUUUGUGAUUCAAAGCAUGCUCUUGUAUAGCUUCCACAUCUACAAAUGGGCAACUCAAUUACUCAAGAACUUGGACAGGAAAAUCAGAAAUUUCAUUUGGUCUGGUGACACUGAGGUCAAAAAACUGGUAAUUGUGGCAUGGAAUUUGGUUUGCAACUCCUUAGCUGAUGGAGGUUUGGGUAUUAAGUCAAUAUCUCUAAUAAACAAGUCUACUCUGUUGAAGUUGGCCUGGGAAAUGUUUUCCUCCAAUCAUGAAUGGGCUAGGUUCUACAAAAACAGAUUUGGUUGUAGCAGAAGUAAACCUACAAGGUACUUUAAAUCUUCUAUAUGGCCUGGUAUCAAGGAUCAAUGGCAUUUGGUUUUUUAUAACUCAAUCUGGCUGGUUGGAGAGGGGCACAACAUCAACUUUUGGAGGGAUAAUUGGCUAGGGGAUCCUCUAGUGGAGCUGCUGGAUAUUCCCCCUCAUCUUCACUCUUCCUUGCAUGCCAAGUUUGCUGAUUUCCUCUAUAACUCUAAGUGGAUAAUCCCUCAUACUUUAGCUACAAGGUAUCCUAUGAUCAGCAGGAAAAUUGCUUAUACUAUAAUCUUUGAGGGAAUAGACAAAUUGGUUUGGCACAAUUCUAAUGAUGGUAAGCUAUCAUUAAAAGCUACAUUUGUUUGUGUGUGUAAUCAGAAUCCCCAACCUUGUGGCCUAAAGCACAUCUGGUCAAUACACAUUGUUCCUUCUAAGUCUUUCAUCCUUUGGAGAAUAUGGAUGAAUCGAAUGCCAACGGAUGAAAACCUUCAGAAAAGGGGGUGUGCCAUGGUUUCCAUUUGUAAUCUUUGCAAUGCCAAUACUGAAACCACAAACCAUCUGUUUUUGAAAUGCCUCUUUGCUGUUUACCUUUGGUCUUGGUUGAGCACUAUUUUCUCAAUCUCCCUGGACAUAUCAUCAAUAAAUAUUGUGAUGUCUUUCUCCAAAACAGCUUGGAGCCCUUUGCUCAACCAUGUGUUCUUAGCUUGUAUUAUCCAUACAAUAAGCACUAUUUGGUACUGCAGAAAUCAGUUAAGGUUUGAGGACAGAAAAAUAUCAAUGGCCCAUACAAUUGCUAAGAUUAAAAGAGAGACAUCUUUAGUUGGUUUAUGCUCUACUGCUAUUGCCUUCUCUUCUCUACAUGAAUUCAUCAUCUUGAAGUUUUUCCAAGUCCCUCUAAAUUAUAGUAAGGCUCCUACCUACACUGAGGUGAUAUGGAAAAAGCCUACUUUGGGUGUUGUUAAAGUGAAUACUGAUGGCUCUGCUCAUGGUGCUCCUGGCCAUGCAAGAGGAGGGGGUAUCUUUAGAGACCAUAAUGGAGCCUUCAUAGCUAGUUUCGCAACUUACUUGGACAUCAACAAUGCACUUUUUGUUGAAUUACAUAUGGCAAUCCUUUCUCUUGAGAUAGCUUAUCACAAAGGUUGGAAGAACCUUUGGCUGGAAUGCGACUCAACUUUGGUGGUGAAUAUUUUCAAAGGGUCCAUUAAUCCUCCUUGGCAACUGCAAAACAAAUUUGAUAAAUGCAAGCUUCUCUUGGGUAAUAUGAAUUUCAGCAUCUCUCACAUAUUCAGAGAGGGGAACAUAUGUGCUGAUAAGCUUGCUAAUCAUGGUAUCCGUACUAGAUCAAACACUUGGUGGAAUAUUAUGCCUAGUUUCAUUUGUUCCGAAUUUGUGAAAAACAGGGCAGAUUUUUCCUUCGUAUAGAUUUAGGAACAUGUAAUAUUUUCUUGCUCCUUAUUAAUACAUCUAGGUGCAGGGCGCCUUUUGCUUUUAAAAAAAAGUAGUAAGGGUGAAGAAAAAAGUUGUCAAAAUUUAGUUAUUCAUAUAGCACUACUCUUUGUCAAUUGGUAUGUAGGUUUGACCAUCUUACUAAAGAUAGGGGGAGAAAGUAAUAAUGUUUUCUUUGUUUUUAUUCACUUUUUAGUCUUAAUUGAAUUCUUGAAUUAUGAUAGUCCAUGCUAUCUUAUUUCUUAUUGUAGAAAAUGUAUAUCAAAACGAAAAAUAAAACAUUUAAGGGAUGUGUUUUACUAUUACAGGAUUCAUGAAAAAACCUAUGGCCGCUUGGUUGUUAUAGAUUUUGAUACAUGUAGUAAAUCAAAACUCCAACACGCUUAAAUUGUUGGGUAGAAUUAAAUCUUAAUUAUAAUUAACUAUAACAAUGAAUAGACAUUAUCUCUUAUAUUAUUUAGAUUUAUCUUCACAAUAUACUAUUUUUUGUUAACCUAGUUACACUUGUCAUCUGAUGGAGACUAAUUUGAUCGAAAUUUAAAUUUUUUAGGGACAAUCUUAGGGUUUUCAAUUUUUGGAGGACCAAACUAGUAAGUUUGAAAAAUAUGAAAUACUUUCUUUUUUUAAGCAAGGAUGCUAAAGCACCCAAAAUUUAUUGAAGAAAGAAAAAACCAUUACAAGUUAAUGAACCUAUAGUUUGGUAAACCCAACCAAUUUCUAUUACAAUCCAAGAAGAUUAUAGAUGGCUUAGAACCCCACCAAGUAAAAGUUCUUGAUCGCAAUCCAUGAUUAGCAAGUAAAUCCGUGCAAGAAUUCUCCUCCCUGCAAAUAUGAGAAACCUUCUAAGACAUAGAAGACAAUAAGUUUUUGCAAAUAUUCCACCUUGAAGAUUGAAAUGAGCAUUUACUCUUUAAUAAAUAUAGUAUGUGUAUAUUUAAUGUAUAUAUUAUAAUUUUAAGUUGAGUUAAAUAUUCAUGUACUACUAGCAUAUAUUUUUUUACACAAUAAUAUAUUUUCACCAAUUCAUAUAUAUAUUACUUUUAUUAAAGACUUAAUAAUAAUUAAAUCAUGAAUAAAGAAUGUUGUAUUGAUAAUAUAACAAACUUUUACAUCGUUUAUUGUGCAUAAAGUAUUUUUUUCUUACUUUAUAAUUUGCCUAUGGAGAAACUCCUCUAAAGUGUAGUCUCCACUUUAGAGUUUAGUGUGCAAAAAUUUAGACAGAAUUAUAAUGUAAAUAUACGCAUUUUUAGCAAACUCUACUUUAUUGAGUUACUUAAAGGUAUAUGCCUAAUUACUUGUUUUAUUAGCAUAUUGUUGUAUUUAAAAUGAAACACGAUGGUUUGAAGUCAUGAUGCAUUAAUAAAUUUUUAUUAAAUAAUACAUAUUUUAAAUAGGCUUUUAAGAUAAACAAUGAAAUAGAUUAAGAAAAUGACUAAAGUUUGGUAUAGAAUAUGCUAAUAAAGUACUAAAUUAAGUAUAAAACUUAAAUUUGGAAUACAUACAGGACAUUUUCAUGCCAAAAUUCGAUCUGAAAUAUAUGUUAGCACAAAAUAUUGAGGCCUCCUUAUCUUACCAAAGUUUGAGUUCCACUGUUGUAUUAAUUAUAUUGUUGUAGAUGUCCCUUAGAUCUUAGCACAAGUCUCCAUUUUAUAAUCUUAUUAUACAUCCCAUCUCCUAAAAUUUGUGUUUUUCAUUUUGAAUAUUUUUUAUAUAGUUUAGCUGGUAAUACAUGAGCUUCUUUUUUAAUUGCAAAUUGUAAUAUCUUACUUUAUUUAAUCAAUAUGUAAUAUAUAUGUGAGGUCUAGUCUUGUAUUAUGUUGUAGCAAAUAUAUCUAAGAUCACCAACAAGACGUUGAUCUAUUAGUGUAAGGUCAUACUGGAUCCCCAAAGUUGAGAACUUGAUUCUUGGGAGCGAUACUUAUUAGGAGGGGCAAUCACGAACUCCAAAAGAAAUUAAUUCUUUACGCAAAAAGGUAAGGAGAUACUCUUGAUAAUACCAAAAGAUAUCUCUUACAUCGUAUCACAUGUCUCCAUUGUAUAAUCUUAUUAUACAUCUCAUAUCUUAGAGUUUGUGCUUUUCAUUUUGAAUACUUUUUAUAUGGAUUAGCUGGUAUUAAGUGAGUUUCUUUUUUAAUUGCAAAUUGCAUUAGUUGACUUUCUCUAAUCCUUCUCAUAUAAAAGUUUUAGGUCUUCCUUUUUAAUUAUACUGUAGCAUAUGUCCCUCAUAUCAAAGCACAUGUCUCCAUUUUUAAAAUAUUACUAGUAAGUAAUUCCAUGCAGCAAUCAAACCGGUCAAUAUGACUUUCAGAUAUCGUUGAAAGAAUUUGUGACUUACACUAAUUCGCAUGAUUAAGAGCACACAUGUUUAAGUCAUAUUGAAUCACACUUAAGCCACAAAUUCUUACCCGUGCAUGAUUAAGAGCAUCAGUCUAUGUAUUCGCAUAAUUAAGAGCACACAUGUUACCUGUGCAUUCGAAUAGUUAAGAGAACACAUAUUACUCAUACAAUUACAUGAUUAAAACAUAUAUGUUUCUCGUGCAUUCAUAUCAUUCAAACCGAUAAAAGUUUUAUUUACUCCUUCUCAUAUAAAAGUUUUAAGUCGUCUCUUUUAAUUAUAUUGUAGCACAUGUCCCUUAGAUCAAAGCACGUGUAUCCAUUUCUAAAUUAUUAUUAUAUGACGGUGGCGGCUCCACUGCAACUUGUGAAUGUCCACUCCAAUUAAAAAUUGCCAAAAUUUCAAUCGAGUCUUUUGUCUUACCAAUUCCUUUAUAUUCUAUAAUUUCUUCAGCAACUUCCAUUUUAUUAAUACAAGUAGGGACAAGUUGUAUAUUUAGCUAUACAAACUAAUAACAUGGUUAUCUUCAAGCAUGUGUAUCUUCAUUAAGUGCAGAAGAGAAAGAAAAAAAUCUGGGGAACAAUGCAUACCCCAACUAUGGAUAAAUACUAAUUUAGAAUCCACUAUAAGUGAUUUAUAUCCUAUUCUUCCAUGGCAUAUUAUUACAUCAUUUUGUCAUUUUUAAAUUAGAAAAUAAUGUAUACACUGAUAAUUAUGAAUUUAAUACAUUGUUAUUGCAUCUUCCACCAUUCAUAUUUAUUCAUUAUUAACUUAAAAAAAAUAAUACAAAUAAAUGGUGAAUGACAUACUGACGGUGUAUAAAUCUUUACCCUGAUAGUAUGUAGAUAUUACACUUUUUAAAAUUAGUUUAUUAAAUAAUUUCAUUAAAGAUGAUACCUCAUCAACUGAUUAACUUUUCAGCAAAUAUGCCAGUCACAAAUAUGAAAGUCUUUUUUUUAUAAGCAAAUAUAUUAGAAACGGACAUAAGGAGUGUCAACCUAAUUACAACUUACAAAGAAGAUCAAUACAAGUAUAAAGGUCAAUACACCAUUGGGCAAAAAUGUACAACUUAGAUCCUAUAUUUUUUGAAAUCCACAACCAAAAUCUAAUUUGAAUCGAAUCCAUAAUCUGAGUAAAACUAACUUUGUCUCCCCUAAAAAUAAUAUCAUUUCUUAACUUCCAAAUCGACCAAAUAACAGCAAACCACAACAUUCUCCACAUCGAUUUCCCUUUACUAAUCUUACAAAGGGAAUCAUGAGUCUUAAGUGAUUCCACAAUCGAAUCCGACAAAAUCUUAGUACACAUUUUUUACAAGGUUUGUCAAACAUACACUAUAUACAUCUAUGUCACAAAUAUGCAAGUCUUUAAUACAUCAUAAAAUUAUACAAACAUUAUAAUGAGGUUCCUUUUCUACCAUAGAAAAUUAAUAGUGUCAAUGGGACUCUACAUACUAUUUAGGAAAUAAAACCUAAAUCAAUGAUAGUUGGGAUGAUAUAUCUUGAGAGCGUUCAUGCCAAAACCUUGUGCAACAAUUUAGGAAAAUUUCACUAGAAAAGUCACCAUUACUAUCAAGGCUCCAUCACCAAACAUCUUAACAACUAUGAUCCAACCAAAUAUCUAUGAGAAACAUGCAAAACUCUUGAUACGAUGGUUGUUCAUAGUCAUGAAAAGGACGAGGAUAAGUUCCAAGACAAUCUCCCUGUAUUAUUAACGUAAAACUCUUGACCAGAGAUUUUUAUUUUCAUGAGACUGUCUCCAUGACCAAUGCAUUUCAACAAACACACCUUAAAUCAAUCCAAAUUCAUUGCAUGAAAGCACAUAUCACAUAUAUCUCUUGUAAGACAAAUUGUUGUAUAAGAAAUGUGAAGGUAAAAUUUCUAGAUAAAAAGUUAGACCCAAUGGAUUAUAUUCGCCAUCAAUUUGGAUUAAUUUUUAGGCAAAAAUUCAUCUGAUUCAAAUAUAUAAUUAAUUUGCAGUCUAGUCUGAUUUAUUUACUUUAAGACAUUCAAUACAAUUUGAUCCAAAUUUAUAUACGAUUUGGACUAGUUUUUUAUAAAAGAUUGGAACUCUACACAUAAACUUCAAAACUCAUAAACAUAACUAAAAUAUUAAGCCUAAUACACUUUAAAGUAACAAGUUUACAUGCAUUCAUGUUAAUAUUGUCAUAACUGUAUCACAAUAUUGUUUACAUACACUAUAAACACAUUAUGUCACAAAUCCAUAAACUUUUGUUUCUACCACCAUAUUAAUAAAAAAACACAACAAUUAACAAUUGUAUAAAUUUAAAAAAUCACUAUAUUAAAGACCAUUAUAUCAAUAUAGUGAUUUUUUAAGAAUUAUCUACAAUUUCUUCUACUACUUUUUCUUAGUGCAAUAAAAUUCUAAACUUUGUUUUGCUUGAAUUUUCUAUAAACAAAUUAGACCUUCUUAAUUAGAGAUUCACAUCCAUAUAACUCCACUUUGUUUUUGGCUUCUUUAAUAUAUAUGUUUUAAAAAAAUGACCAUUAUAUCAAAGACUGAUAUACAAUUAGGAUCACGACAAUGAGUAAAAAUAUUAUUAUACUCAUAAUGUACACUCAUUAAAAAAGAAACAGUUGAAUGUACUAGUAGCUGACAAUGAUUUCUUCCUUCAUUGUGAUUGUACUGUAUAUCAGAAAAAACAAAUCUAACAACUUAAUUAUAUUUAUCAAAAUAAAUAUCAUUUCUACACUGUAAAUAUUUUACCUACGUGCGAAAAUAUAUUACUUAGGAAUUACAUAUUUUUUAGUCAUAUCAAAUGAAUAUUACUCAAUAUGCCAUAUGAAUACUUGAUUGGUGAGUUUGUAUUCUAUCUUGUUUCAGAAUAUUAUUGAACUAAAGUGUUAAACACUUUAAUACACAACUUUGUUUACGCAUAUUCCUAAUAAGCCAAAUUAAUGUAGUCUGAUUUAGAUUGGUAUGAUUCUUAGAGUUGGAUCCAAAAACUAGUCUGAAUGGAUUUGUUUUAAAAAAAAGUUCAUUCAACAUGAUCCAAUCACAUUUGAUAGAUUUUAGUUUAUUUUGGAAUGGUUUUCAAUUUUCUUUUUGAACCAGUUUGCAUUUGAAUGGUUUGCUAUGCUUAGUGGUAUGAAUGGCAUUAGAGAGAGGGAACACCAAUAAUAAUACAAUAAACUGAGAUUUAUUAUUAUUAUUAUUAACAAUCAAUAUCUGUAUCAAUAUAAAAAGAAAUCUUCUACACAUUUAUUUAGAAAGAUUUAUUCAUUUUUGUCAUUAAAUCUAAUUAUAUGCAAUUUUUAUUAUGAUAUCACUAAUCUAUAAUAUUAAAUCUAUUAAUUAAACUACAAUUGUGCAUGUUGAAACACUAACAAUGAUAAUAAUGAUUAAUUGAAAAAUAUCUAGCUGCCAACUAAAGUUAGACCAUUUAGUAAUAAGUUGACUCAUAACCUACAAGUUCUAUAGUUCAAAUCUUGUGGGAAAUGUUAAAAUGGUAGUAUGCAUGGAUGAACAAGAAAGAAUGAGAAAAUGUUAUUGAAUUGAAUUGAAUUCCAAAGUUACAUUGAAUCAUCUAUAUAAAGGGAAGAAAACACUAACUACCCUAACUAAAUUAACUAACUGACUAACAAAAGCUCAACUAUUUUAAGAGGAAAUGAGAAGACCUUACUUAUGGGAAAAUUGUAAGUACUGAUUGAACCGUCGUCGAAACUCACCCAUAUCUUUGAGAGAAUAAACUAAGCAAGUUUUCAUUUUAUUUUAUUUAUGCUAAAACCCUAAUAUAAAAGCAAAGUUGAAAAAGAAUGUAUUCACAUGUUUUAUUUCUCAAUACUAUAUUAUUUAUAUAUACAAAAAUUGUUCCUAAAAUCUAAAUAAAUCUGUUUACAUAUCACCAUCAGAUUUGUUUUAGGAUAAUAAUAACCUAAUCGAUCUAAACAAAUAUAUUUACAUAUUACAUUCAUAUUCAGAAUGCUCAACUUGCCCAAGAAGGAUUCAAACUGUGAUUUACCCAAAGCUUUGGUGAAGAUAUAUGUGAGUUGAGCAGUAGUAGAUAUAUAGGUCGGAAGAAUAUCAUUGGAAAUUAGUUGAGUAGUUUUCCAAGACGGAUGUUCUAACCUGUUGUGCCAUCAUUUGUUCCUUCAACUUUGAAUACCUUCUUCGUUGGGGCUUCUUGAAAAUGAUAGAGUUCAUUCCUUCAUUCACUCGAAUCAAUUAGAAUCUUCGAGGUUCGGUCCUCUGUAACUCACAAAUCACCAGUAAACUGAACAUUACAGUUUGAGUUAUCUGACAAUUGUGAUAUAAAAAUCAAGUUGCAUUUGAACUGAGGUGUAUAAAAUACAUGUUCAAGAUUUAAAUUAUCAAGUAUCUAAGGUGAAGACUUUUUCUUCUAAGCAUAUUUGGUUCUUGAAUAUAUUAUGGAACCUUCCCCUUUAGUCAUCAUGUGUGUCAUACACAUUUUCAAGUAUCCAAGGUGAAGGCUUUUUUCUUCUGAGCAUAUUCGGUUCUUGAAUAUAUCACAGAACAUUCACCUUCAGUCAUCAUGUGUCUCUACUACUGCUCAACUCGCAUAUAUCUUCACCAAAGCUUUGGGAAAACCACAGCUUCAAUUCUUCUUGGGUAAGUUGGGCAUUCUGAAUCUUCAUACUCCCAUUUGAGGGGAACAAAUCAAAUCCAUAUAAGCAAAUUUGUUUAGAUUGAUUAUGUUGUUAUUAUCCUAAAAUUAAAUAUGAAGUUGAUAUGUAAACAUAUUUGUUUAGAUCGAUUAGGUUGUUAUUAUCCUAAAAUCAAAUCUGAGAGCCAUAUGUAAACAAAUUUGUUAAAAUUUUAGGAACAAGUUUUAUGUAUACAAACAAUUGAAUAUUGAAAAAUAAAACAUCUAAAUUCAUUUCUUUACAUAAGCAUAUACACAUUUAAAGGUGUGUAUACUCUCCAUUCUCACUAAUUGAAUCACAAAUCUUAGUUUAUGACAACAUUACUUCCUGUAAAUGAAUCAAACUACUUUUCAGAACCUCCCCUUAAAAUGGAUCAUAAAAUCAAAGUUACUGACAAGCUGAGGCACAAUGAUAAAACAUAGAAAUAAAUAUAUAUUAUAUCAAUUAUGUUAAAAUUUUGAUAAUUAAAUAGCUAGACUCCUUAUUUACGCCUAAGAAAACAAAAAGUAUAAUAUUUGUCUUAAACCAAUAGGAUCCUUUGUGAUUUUAAAUUCAUUUAUGGUUGACUUAGUAAAAUGAUAAUGUGGUAAUAAUAGCAAUGAAAAUAAGCUAAGUGUGUGUAUAAAUAUGAGGUAAUGGUUGAGGUUAAGUGAACCAUAGCUAGCCAUGUCUACUUUAACAUCAACCAUAUUCUUCUCUCCAUCAUUGCUCAUCCCAGCAAGAACCAAACCAACUAAUUCUCCAAAUAACCAAGUUUUUUUCCAUAAAAAUGAUCAUUAUCUUAAUAGGAUAGUGCCUCAAAAGAAGAGAGCUUCCUUUUGUAUCAAAGCACAAGAACAAAAAGUAGAAGAAGGGGUUCCUUCUGCUACUAUUGCAUGCCCUACUGUGAGGCCUAAGUUUGUGUUGUUUGGUUCUUCCAUUGUUGAGUAUGGUUUUCAUGAAGGUUGGGCAGCUACUCUUGCUCACUUGUAUGGACGCCAGGUAAUUUCUUCCGUAAUUUCUUUUUAUAUCAAAUUACGUAUUCAUAAUAAUAAUAAUAAUAUUGAAAAGAUUUCAUAUAAAAGAUGAUACAUUAUAAUUAAUUAAUUGAGUGAAGGGGAGUCGUGUUCUGCUUUAAAAGUCAUUUAGGAUCAGGUAAAGAAUAAACUUUAUCCGACUCAUACUUAGCCCUUAUAAAUGACAACGAGGAAUAUUAAUGAUGGUGAUUGGGAUGGUUGAUGACAUUUAAUAUUAUGUUAAAAAAGUAUAGAAUAAUGUUAAUAACUUUAUUAAUCAAUUGAUAAUCAUAAAAAUUAAAAAAAAUGUAAUUGUGAGUGAUGAUGAAUAUUUGAUUGGAGUUAAAUGUAACUAUUGUUUUGAAAAAAUAAUAUAAAAGGAGACAUUGUAUAAAAAUAUGAUGUUACCCAUAGUCUCAAUUUUUAUGUGGUAAAAUAACAAAGUCAAAGUAAAACUUUUUUUAUUUCGACAAAAUGAAUAUUCUUUUUUAAUACACAUAUAUAAAAUAUUGCUUUUAGGAUAUUAAAACCACAUUAUCAAUGAGUUACUAAUCACAUUUACACAUUGACUUGUAAUAGGUGGAUGUAGUUUUGCGUGGAUAUGCAGGUUGGAAUUCGAGGACUGCUCUACGGAUCCUGGACAAAAUUUUUCCAAAGGUAUAUAUUUUCACUGUUUUUUAAUUUAUAAAAAAGUAUAUAUUCUUUGCAUCAUGCAAUAUUUUUAUUUAAUUAUAAUUGACUUUUUUAAACAAAUAAUACAAAUAAAUAUUAAAUAAUGUCUUGAAUCCAUUUUUUAAUAGUGAAUGAAUUAUUACGACCAGAUCCAUUAAGAUCUACUCUUGGAACAAUAUGAUUAUUUGAUUUUUGAUCAGAUUGACUCAUUGACAUUUUUUUUUUGGCAAAAGAGGGUAGUACCCUCCCAAUUUAUUUAUAGAAAGUCAAUAACCGAAAAAACCGAAUUAAACAUGUCUAAAUUUGUAAUUGGGCAUUCCCAACCGAUUCCUAUUACAAUCAUGCAUAAUGAAGUUAGGAAUUGAAUCCCAUAUUGUGUCUCUCUUUGAUUCUAAACCAAAAGAAGCCAAUUUAUUGGCACAAGAAUUAUCCUCACGAUAGAUAUAAGUGAUUUUGAAAUCCAUUGAGUGAAGAUUGACUCAUUGACAUAUUAAGAAUCAUCAUUUUUUCUCUUUGAUCUUCUUUAACUCAGCAUGCAACUCAACAACCAUCAUUAGUGAUUGUAUAUUUUGGUGGUAAUGAUGCUACUCAUCCACAACCAGAUGGUCAUGGUUCUCAUGUACCUCUCAAAGAAUACUCAGAAAAUAUGAGAAAGAUUUUUAACCAUCUUAAGGUAAACUUUAGCACUAGACUCUAACACCAUUUAAUAUUCCAUUAUCAUGUUAAUCAAAUCACUCAUCUAUCCUUACUAAGUUUAUCACACUAAGAAGUUUGACACAAAUUCAAAUGAUUUUCAGAGCCUUUCAGAGAAGACUCGGAUUAUAUUUCUCAGUACUCCUCCUAUCAAUGAGAAACAACUCUUUGGAGACAGGUUUUGACUACAAUUUAUUUGCUAGCUACUUGAUCAUUAUAAUAUAAUAGAAAGAAAAGGGUAGUGGAAAAAACCUUUAACAUUUUAAUUUCUUUAUUAUUUGAAUUUAUAUUUCAACCUAAAACUCUAAUGAGUAAGUUGUUGAACUUGAACCAGCCCUCCAGAAAAACUACCAAAGACAAAUGAAUCUCAUCGAAUAUAUUCAGAAG